GGGAUUGAGUUUGCCGGGAAUGAGCCUGUGAAGUUCGACGUGUAUGUGAACGAUGACGCGGAAUCGCUGGCUGGGAAAGACAAGUCGGAGUUUGCUGGGAGUUUUGUUCACGUGCCGCAUAAGCAUAAGAAAAAUAUUAAGACGAACCUGCGACUGAGCAUUAUGAGCUUGUUGGAGGAGUUGGAUGCGGAGACAGACAGCAGUUUGGUGGUGACUUUGGUGCCGAAAGUUGGGAAGGGGCCAAUCACCAUCGGAGGGUUUAGCAUUGAGCUCAUUAAUACUACCUAAGUAUUAUUUAAUGUUAUUGUUGUUCUUCUUGUUGUUGUUGGGUUGGCUUAAUCGUGUUUUUCUAGCCAAGUAAUCUUGACUGUAAUGUGCUCAUCUACUGCUUAUGUGGCAGAUAACGGUUGGUGUUCCUCGUGAAUAAAAGCACUAUUGUGUUUCGGUGUGUUUAUUUAUUGAAUAAAGAAUUGAUGGUAGAGUUUAAUCAUAAUUUUCCAGAAUUAUUGAUGAUUGAGUUCUCAAAAAAUUAAGAGUAUGUUUGGUAUCUUAUUCAAAAAAAAAAUUUAUCAUUGUACAAAACACUUCUUAAAAACAUGUCCUAAGAACAAUUUUUGUUUAAAAGUCAAAAACUUUUUUGGUAUGAAAUUCGUAAUUGUUUUUAAAGAAAAAAAAAACUCAUCCUAUAAUGUGAACUUGUAAAUUCAAAGAGAGAAAAAAGAAGGAGGGUAGAGAGAAAAAUGGGAGAAGGAAAGAAAGGGAAGAGAAUGAAAUAGGAAACAUCCUAACCCCAUUUUUAUUUAAAAAUUGUUUUAAAGCCUUAAAUGGUGAGCCGGUGGGGCCCACCUUGUUUUACUUUUUUUGUGUUUUCCGGUCUCCCUCUCUCCUCUCUCAGUUCUCUCUCCUGUGUCUCUCUCUCGGACCUCAUCUCUCUCCCUUGCUGCAACUCCUUUUCCCUGAGCAACACACAGCCACGCCAUCUGCUGAGGACAUCACCAUCACAACCUCUGCAAUUUCCUUUCGGCGAGCACCGCCCCUUUCGAGGCCAUUUCCGGACAAACUACAGUGAGUUGGCCAGCGUGUAAGGUAUCAAUCUCUUCAUCUCGCUGAGAACUACAACUUUCCUUUUUGUUUCACUCAAUUUCGUUGAGUAUUGAAGAAGUUAUACUCAUUUGAAUCUUACCCAGUUUCCGGCGACCUCCGAGGCUUUCGAGGCAUUUUCCGGCUAAACCAUGGUGAGUUAGACGUCGUGUGAGGUACCAUUCUCUUCGUCUCUUCAAGGGCUACAACUUUCAUUUUUGAAUCACUUAAUUUUGUGGAGUUUUGACAAAGUUAUGGCCAUUUAAAAUGGGUGUGGAUUUCCGGCCGAAUUUCCGGCUUUCUCUCCCAUUGGGUCCGGCGACCCACCAAACCCAAGGCCUUUGGCCCUUCCCUGCCAAGCCCAACCCUUUUGGUUGUGAGGCCUUUGGGCUGUUAGUGCGUGUGUGUGUGUUUGUGUAGUAUGUGGGAGUGUGUGUGUGAGUGUGUGUUGUGUGUGGAUUUGGGCUUAAGCCCAAACCACCCCUUUUGUACUUAACCUAUCCAAAACCAAAACCCAAUAGGUCAUAACCCUUUUUAACCUAAGCCUAGACCCUAAUCCAGAUUCAAGCCUAAAACCCAUUUGACCUAGUUUGACCGUUGACCCCCGGUCAAUGUUGACAUUUCGGGUUUUUGUCCAGGACCCUUCUUAGGGUAAUUCGAUGUUCUGAAUCCGUUUCCAAUGUCUGUUUUUCCAAAUUCAAUUGCUAUUAUAUAGUUUGAUUUAUUGUACAUUUUUGUAUUUAGGGGCAAUUAUUAUGACUUUUCCAUCUUCGCUUGUGGCGCAGCUUUUGGCAUCUAAGUAUUGUGAGUGGACCCCUUCUAAAAUUUCAUGAUUUUAUAGUUUAAUUGCAUAAAUGAUUAGCAUGCCUACGAGUUUAUGAUUUGAUUUAUGUGAAGUUUGUUUAUUAAAUAUAUUGAUUUUCGUCUCGUGUUUUUUGUGAGGAAUCAAUUGUUGGCCCAUAUUGAGCUAUAUUUUGAUAUAUCGUGUUUUUAUAAAAACCAUGAACUGGUAGACUAUCUGAUGGAUGACGAUAGGAUGCUAGAACAUAUUUUCAAAACCCCUAUUUAUAGUAUAGACGAUGGCUGACUUUAUACUAUGAAGUGGUUAUUUUUUAGAGGCAUAACUAUUUGUGCGUACCUAGUGGACACUAUGCCGCAUGGGGCGAGGAUCUGGUGUUGGCAGUUAGGCCAGGAGAAAUAAUCCCUAGCUACGGGCUAAGGGACAUGGAGCAGGCAUUGGGCCGGGAGUUGGUAAUCUCUGGCUACGGGAGCAGAGACCACGGAGCAGGCAUUGGGCCGGGAGUUAUAUUUGUUCAGUGAUCUUUCUAGCAGUACACCGCGCUUACGAGACGAUCUAUGAAACGUUUACUGUUUUGAUUUCCGCGAUAUGACUUUUGAGAUAUUUUUGGCAUGCUAAGAUUUUUAUUAAAUCCUUCACUUACUAUGCUAGUAGUUUUCACUAUUAAACUUUGGGGAUUAGUAUGUUGAUAACUGUUUUAUUAUUAUUGUAUAUAUGAACUUGGUCCCCUCACCUUUGUUUUGCGUCCCCAUUCAGGACUUAGGAUCAAGGCACCUAAUCCCGACGUCAAGACACUUCCGCAGCAGCAUCUUUGAAUCCUCUCGAUGUAUGACCCAUUUCUUUAUUCAUUCAAUUUUAUCUUAAUUCUUUUUAGUGAUUAGGUUUAGUUGUAUGCUCUGAACACGUUCCUAAAUUAUUAAUUCAUUGUAUUUUAAAUUCAUAACCCUUAUUUAUUUCUUAUUCUUAGCUUUUGUAUCAAUUAAUGGCUUUCGUCACCCUUGGGUGUCGGCCAUCACGUAUCUAUCCUGGUAUUUGGGGAAUAUCAGGGUCGGGGCAUGUCAGAAAGGAGAGUGGAUCAGAAGAGAGAGAGAGAGAGAGAGAAAUAUGAGAUGAUCGAAGGAGUAAGAAAAUUGGAGGAGUGAGAGCAAUGAUAGAGAUAAAAGAUAAGGGAUUAGGUGCGAGAGAAAAGGGAAGAGAGAAAUAGUGAUCUUUAAAAUUAAAAACUCUAAAAACACACUUUUGGUGUUUUUAUGACAUAGGCUAAUUCUUAAGUUAGUUUUGAGUCUAGUUUUUGAAAAGGUUCAUGUCAAACAAGUUUUUAACACUUAAAACUUGAAAACUGAUUUUGAGUUUAAAAAGUUGGAUUCAAAUUGAAUACCAAACAUGCCCCAACGAAUUCUAAUUGUGUAAAAUUGUUUAUAAAACUAGUACACUACGUUGCUAUUAUUGUUGACUAGCAGAGAGCACACAUUUUGUGAAUGUGAACAAUUUCUCUUAAUAAGUGUAUAUUUUAUUAAUAUUACAUAAUUACUGAUUUGUCCUCUUUAUGUAAAUAUUAUGUAUCAAAAGAGAGGGUAAAAUUGAAAAAAUAAGUAUAAAAAGAGGGUAAAAUAGGAAAAAUAGGGAUAUGGUUGUCAUUUUGUCAAAGGGUACAAAAUUACUAUUGUAUUAGCUAGUGACCACCAAGAUUAUGAGAGUGGAUCCCAAGGAUCUUCCAAUCACAUCCAUUCAUCUUGCAUCGUGGGAUCAAUUUUCGUCAGGUACUGUUCAUAUUCAAUUUUAAAUAAAAAAAUUUACAAUAAUUUCUGACCGCACAAUAUAUGAUGAACGAAUAUGAUUUGAGAAUUUUCAAGAUCUUUACAAAGAGAAUCCGACAAGGAUCCUUUCUCUUUUUUUCCCCCCAAAAUUCAUUCCAACCCAUGACCUAAAAUUAACCUAAAACCUAAAACUGAUAUGCGGGUCAAAUACCGGCCCAAUUUUAGACCACAAAACAAAAUGGGCCCCACCAACUGAGAUUGAAACCGGGGCUAUGAAACCCACUGCCCAAAUCGAACUCGCCUACGCGCUGAACGCGCUAGGCAUUUGUUGUGGGGUGACAAACCCACGUGGGGUUGUUCCUCCGGGUGUCAGACCAAUAAGUAGCCCAACGACUACUUUUCUUCAUCCAAUAGCCCAAUUUAAAUGGGUCGUUGGUUAAUCCAAUGGUCCAGGUUCAAAUUAUUUUUUUUUAGUUUUAUAUUGAUAUAUUUGUUGAAUCCAACGACUUAGAUCGAAUAUAAUCAAAUCUAACAGUAAAAAAAAGAUCUAAUGGUCCAAAUUUAAAUCCAAUGGCUAAAAUAAUUUAAAAAAAAUUAUUUAACUUAAAAUUCAACCAAAAACUUUAUAAAUACUUAUGUAUUUGUUUAAACAUCCACACAAAACUCACUUUUCUCCUACAAUUCUUCCAAUUUUUCUUUCUACCAUUUCUUCUCAUUUCCAAAUUUUUCAAGAUGGCAAAAGAGUAUGUUAGAGGUCAUAAUUGGACCUUUGACGAAGAUAUUGCUUUAUGUUUGGCAUGAAUUUCUGUUAGCGAAAAUGGUGUCGUCGGCACAAAUCAAAAUAGAAACGUUUUGUGGGGUAAAAACGUUGAUAAGUUCCAUGAAAACUCCAAUGCCGGUCGAAGGGAAGUUGGUGGUGUUUAUGAUUGGUGGAAGAUUAUCAACAAAGCAUGCACUUUGUGGAAGGGAAGCUUGGAGAGAGCCACGGUUGACAUGCCUAGUGGAAUGGGUGCCUCAGAAAUUGUGAGUUUCUUUGUUGAUAUUUUAGUUGUCAUGUACAUAAUAGUAUUUAGCAACUAAUUGUUUUUAUGUAUUUGUUGCAUAGGGUGACAAAGCAAUGGCAAUUUACAAGAAGAACUACACCAAAAAAUCAAGCUUUUAAGUUGCAUCAUGCUUGGAACAUCCUUAAGGAUUGUCCGAGGUGGCGAACCGAUGCGAACCAACAAUGUGGAAGAUUAUUUCAUAGUGAAGCCCCACCCCCAAAUGAUGUCAAUGAAGGUGUGAAUUUUGCCAACAAUGAAGGUGUCGAACAAAUGACCCUAACUUCUUCUUUUGUAAGGCCACCGGGUAGAGAUAAGCAAAAAGAAGCAAAGAGAAAAGGGAAGUCCCAAGAUGCAAUAUGUGCACAAUUUGCUAGCGAAAUUGCAAGAAUGAACAAAAAUUAUAUCUCUCGGCAAGAAGAAUCAGCCCAAAUGUGUUUGGCCAUGAAGGAAGAAGGGGAUAGGGAGCAAGAAAGGUUCGAAAUUAAUUUGAUGAUGGAGGACCUCGACAAACACACUCCAGAGAGGAAGAAAUACUUACAUGGUAAGCAAAAGGACAUUUUAUGAAGGAAUGACACAAGGAGUAUAUUUCAAGAUGAUGAUUUCAUCUCAAGACUAUCACCCAAGUCCAUCACCAAGUCAAAAUGGUGGAUAUCAUUAUUAAGUAUAUGUAGUUUAUGAGUUUUCGAUUGUGUUAAGUUUAUGUGGUUUAUUAAUUGUUUUUUUUUUUGAAGUUUAUGUGGUUUAUUAAUGGUCGUUUGUAUUAAGUUUAUGUGGUUCAUCAUGAUUUUCAUGUAUUGAUUUAGUGAUUUUUCAAAAUUUAUUGGAAUUUAAAUAUUUUUAGGUUAAAAUGUUCAUAAAAUUAAUUUAGGAUGGUCUACAUAAUUUUUUUUAAAAUAGUUAAUUUAAAAAAAAAUUAGCCUGAAUUCAUUCUUUGAUAAUCUCGGGCUAAAAUUUUAGGCCAAAAUGGUUGGAGCAGAAAAGCUGUUUUUUGGCUAAAACCUAAAUUUUCUAGGCUAAAUAUUUUUAGGUUUUAGGUCAGGGUUAGAGAUGAUCUUAGCUUCUAUGUUGUUGGCGUCUAGUGUAGAAUAAUUAAAAAUGUGAAUCUAAAAAAAACUUUUUUUCGAAGUCUUAACCUCAAUCUUCUAUUCUUAAAAGUUUAAGAUCACUAUAAUUAGUCUAGAAAAAUUCUAAGGAGAUUCUCUUAAAAGUAGAACUCUUUAUGUCUGUCACUUUAUGUUUUUUGCACAGUGUUUUAAAGUGUUCUUACAAGAAUUGACGUUAAACAAUAAGCAAAGUCGCGAAGAGUCCUACUUUUAAAAAAGUCACUUAGCAUUUCUCUCUGUCACUUUAUGUUUUUUGCACAGUGUUUUAAAAUGUUCUUACAAGAAUUGAUGUUAAACAAUAAGCAAAAUCGCUGAAAGUCCCACUUUUAAAAAAAUCACUUAGAAUUUCCCUUUAUACAAACAUGACUACAUGAGUUAAUUAAUAAUUAAUUUAAUUUCAUGUUUUUCUUAACUAAUAAUUAUUUAACCCAAACAUAUGAUUCUAGGGAGUUUUAACAAAACACUCCCAGUACUGUUCAUUUUUAAUGAAAAACCACAUUUUUACCUUUAACUGGCACUAUUCACUAUACCUUUAAAAAUGACUUUUCGUUAAAAGAGAAGUUUUUUGGAUUUUUCGUUAGUUUUCCUAUGAUUCUAUCCCUUGAAAAAAAAAUCAUAUUUUAUUUGAUGAAUGAGCAAAUGUAUAGUCAAUAGUGUGUUCUGAUGUGACCAGUACGUUAUAUUCAUACAAUAUGCAAUAUAUAGUCAACAUUGAAUAGCUAUAUCGCUUGUCCUUGCUUGGUAAAUCAAGGAUAAAUGAUCGAAACCAGAUCCCCUCUAGAGCAUGAGGACCGGAGCCUGCUGAGCAACCCAUCCGGAUUCUUGAAAUUUGAUCUAAUAGUUACAACUUGCAAUUAUUAUAAUUUUUAGAGGAACCCUCUACUUGUAGCUGUUGAAUCAAAUUUCAAAGACCCGAAUCCGAAUAGGUUGCUCAGCAUGCUCCGGUCCCCAUGCUCAGGAGGGGGUCCGGUUCCUAAAUGAUCAUAGGUUUUUUCAGCUUAUACCUAUAAACCGUGUCUGAUAAUUACAUAAAGCUACGAAGGGCAUUUGUGGAGAAAUUUUUAAUUGUAACAAGAACACAAGUGGUACACCACGUAUUUUAAUUGAAGUCUUUGUUAGACGAAGUCAACCGUUGGUGGUAACCAACACUUCUUGAAGAGUCGUGCUGUGCUUAGGAGUCUUAUCUCCUUGUUUAUAGGACUUCCUUUUUAAAUUAUUCUUCUAACUGAAACUGGUUGUUAUCUUUGUAGAUUUAGCCCCAGUUUGGGGUUGAGGUGAUUUUAAAAAAAGCUCCUAUGAAAAAAAGCUGGGAGUGUUUUUGGUGUUUGGUAAACUUAAAAAAAAGGGCUUAUUUUGGAAGCUGCUGUGAGAAUAAGCUGAAAUCAAAGGAAAAAGCUGAAGCUGCAAUUUGUAGCUUUGGAAAACUGGUUUUUUUCAAAGCACAUAUAACUACAGUGCUCCUUUAAUGAAAAGCUCCACUAUCAGACUGUUUUUUUUUUCCAAAAGCACUUUUACAAAAAAGCUUACCAAACACUCUGCUGAUUUAUUUCACAGCCGCUUAUUCUCACAGCACAGCCGCUUAUUCUCACAGCAGCUUUUUUUCAAAGCACAGCAAUACCAAACCAGUAUCUUUUGAAUUUUGAACUUUUGUGUAAGUAGGGUUAAUUCAAACCCUGAUCGUAAUCUGUAAGUGGUUAUAAGUACAUGCAUCCCACACAUUCAAGGAUAUGCAAUUGAAGUGAAAUCUCUGUGUUAUUAAGUUUUACAUGGUAUUGAGCCUUACUGUCUAACGACAACGAUCCAUAUUUGUUUUUCCUCGCUUCCAAUGGCUGAAAACAAUGGUGCUUCUUCUCAACCAUUCAAUCCCGUUUCCCCAAACAAUCCCACCUAUCCCUUUUCCUCCAUGACGUGGUAAACAUUAAGCUAGACAAGACCAACUACCCACUGUGGUUGGCCCAAAUCUUUCUUAUUCUCAAGAGUCGAGAUUUAAUGGGGUAUGUUGAUGGCACUCUGGUGUGUCCCUCGAAGCACAUGCCUGGUGUGGCAACUGUUAAUCCUGCCUAUACCUUCUGGAUGCAGCAGGAUUAAAUGAUCAUAAGUUGGAUCAAUGGCUCACUUACUGCAUCAGUUUUGUCUGUUGUGGCUAGCAAGCGAAGUGCUAGAGCAACCUGGGAAGCGCUCGAGCAGCGGUAUGCUUCUUUUUCACAAAAUAGGAUUUUAUUUUUGAGGAAUGAAUUGUUGCAGACAAAGAAUAGUGAUCUUUUGGUAGCCGACUAUUUGGAUCGCAUGAAUGUGAUUGUUGACAACCUUGCCCUAGCUGGGCAACCUGUGAGUGACGAUGAAUUAGUACAGAUUGUGUUGAACAAUCUUGGACCAGCUUUCGAGAUGACAGUCAGUGUUGCUCAAGCUUAUGAUACACCUAUCACGUAUCUGACUCUUGAGGUGUUAUUGUUAACCAUUGAAAGAAGAAUGUUGGAGCAUGCUGCUCCUAUGGUGGAACAAGCUUCUGUUACGGCCUUUGUUGCUGCAAGAAGACGAGGUGAAGGUCGUGGUGUUGGGCGCAGUGCUUCUCCUUUCAAUCGUGGUGGAACGUCGAAUCAACGAGGAUUCAACCCUCGUAAUAACAACAAUCAACGCUAUGCUUCUGGAAAUGGGGAACGAUGUGCUUCUACUGGUGAGCAUAUUAUCUGCCAGAUAUGGCAAACCUGGUCAUCCAGCUCUGGAUUGCUAUCAACGAAUAAACGCUGCUUUUGAAGGCCGCAUUCUUACCAAGCGUCUCUCUGCCAUGGUAUCGUUUCCUACUACUCUCAAUAAACAAAAAAAUGGCAAUUGGUUACUGGACAUAGGAGCCAAUGCGCACAUCACUCCGAAUCUGCAAAACCUGGUAAACCCGAAGAAGUAUAAUGGUAAUGAUAGUGUUGGUGGUGCAGGUAAAGACUUUGGUAUUUUGAUUGCACAUUAUGGUUCUAAUAAAAUUAAUAUUGAUGCUUGCUCAUUUAAUUUACAAGACAUCCUACACUGCCCUAAAGCCUCAACUAGCAUCAUUUCUGCCCACAAGUUUACAUUAGACAAUGACUGCUAUUUAUUAAUCUUCCCACAUUUUUUCCUUGUAAAGGACCUCAAGACCCGGAUGACGCUUUUUCAAGGGAGAUAUGAGAACGGCUUAUACCCGUUUUCAGGUGGCGGUUGACAACUUCCAAAUCAAGUUAAAGUCUUUGUAGGGGUUCGAGUUUCUGUUCAAAAAUUGCACGUCUUGGUCAUCCUGCCAGUUCAACAAUAAAGUUUUUAAUUGCAAAUAAAUUGGUUCCAGUUCAUGGUACCUCCAAUGUCACCUUUUGUCAGUCUUGUCCAUUAGGAAAGAGCACCAAGUUGCCUUUCAAAGUGUCAGUGUCUGUUUCCAAUUGUCUUUUGCAGCUUCUACAUUCUGAUGUUUGGUGUUCUCCAAUUAUUUCCAAUGAAGGUUUUCGUUAUUAUGUCCUGCUUGUUGAUGAUUACUCAAGAUAUUCUUGGAUUUUUCCCAUGAAAAAUAAAUCUCAAGUCUUUGAAAUAUUUAUCUAGUUUAAGGCCAAAGUUGAAAAUAUGUUCAAUUUAAAAAUUAAAGCCAUUCAAUGUGAUGAAGGUGGUGAAUACAAAAGAAUUGCCUUUCAAAAGUUUUUAGCACUUCAUGGGAUUUCUCAAAGAUUUUCGUACCCUAAACAUCCAGAACAAAAUGGACUUGCGGAGCGUAAAAACCGACACAUUGUUGAAACUAGUAUUGUGAUGCUUUCUCAGUCAUACAUACCUACUAAGUUUUGGUUUGAUGCUUGUUGUACGACAACAUAUUUGAUAAAUAGGUUACCAACCUGUUUGUUGUCUAACAAAUCACCUUAUGAGAAGUUAUUUCAUAAACCACCAAACUAUGAUAUCCUAAAAAUUUUUGGUUGUCAAUGUUUUCCGUGGUUGAUGCCUUAUACACAAAAUAAACUUCAACAAAAAUGCAAAUCAUGUGUUUUCUUACGUUAUUCAUUGACUUAUCAAGGCUAUAAAUGUAUGAAUUUGUCCACGAAACGAGUUUAUUUGUCUCGCCAUGUCCUGUUCAAUAAGGACUUUUAUCCUUUUCAAGGACUCACAUCUUUUUCUGAAAGCGUUCAAACACAUGGUACUUCUUCUUAACCAGAUCUCUUAUUUAAUUUUCCUUUACACACAUCUCCUUCUUUGACCACGAUACCUACUCCCAUACAAACACUCACUAUCCUUCCACCAUAAAUUUCAACCACAUCUGCCAUCCCACAUCGAAUAGUGACCCAACCUAAUCCUACAUCUUCACCUAGUCAAACUGACACCCCACAUGUAACCCAACCUAAUUCUUCACCUUCACCUAUUCAAACCGACAACACCCAUAUGACCUCACCUCAUCCUACUCCUUCACCAAUUCAACCUGACAACACCCAUGUGACUUUACAGCCUAGUAUUGUACGUUCAUCUCCAGUGUUGAAUGAGCAAGCUACAGUAAUUCAAGACCUCAUGCCAAUGCCUUACGUGGCUCCUAUUGAACCACCACACUCUAUGACCACACAUUCCAAGUCCGGAAUACACAAACCAAACCCUAAGUAUGCUAUGCAUGUGGCUAUUAAUGAUGUUCCUGUUGAGCCUACUUGUUUUACUCAGGCAGUUAAAUAUCCAGAAUGGAGACAUGCUAUGAUCCAAUAGUUUAAUGCCUUGAAGUAUUGUGGAACAUGGAGCUUGGUUCCAUACCGGCCAAACAUGAAUCUUUUGCCCAACAAGUGGGUGUUCAAAAUAAGGAGGAAUGUCGAUGGUACCAUUGAAAGACAUAAAGCACAUUUGGUUGCAAAUGGUUUCCAUCAACAACCUGGUGUGGAAUACACCGAGACCUUCAGUCCUGUUCUUAAACACAGUACCAUAAGACUUGUUCUAAGUUUUGCAGUAUCGAAAAAUUAGCAUGUUCGACAGCUUGAUGUGCAGAAUGCAUUUCUGCAUGGAUAUUUAAGUGAAGAAGUAUACAUGAGACAGCCUGCAGGGUUUGUUGACAAGCAGUUUCCUCACUAUGUUUGCAAACUGCAACGUUCCAUUUACGAGUUAAAGCAAGCUCCUAGGGCUUGGUUUCAACAUUUUUCAGAAUUUUUGCUUCAACUUGGCUUUCAAGAAUUAACAUGUGAUUACAGUCUCUUUGUAUUUAAUCAGAAAGGUGUGUAUCUCAUCUUAUUAAUCUAUGUCGAUGAUAUUCUACUGACUGGGAAUAGUAUUACCAAGCUACGAACCUUGUUUUCCAUGAAAGAUUUAGGACCAUUCCACUAUUUUUUGGGUGUUGAACUGAAGUAUUUUGGGAAUUGCAUGCAUCUCAGUCAAUCCAAGUAUGCUUUGGAUCUUCUCACACGCAUAAAGUUCAUUGAAGCUAAAGCCUAUAUCAACUCCAGUUUCCUGUGGCCAUAAGCUAAAUGCGUAUGAUGGUGAGGCAUAUGAAAAUCCAACACACUAUCAUAGUGUUAUUGGAGCAUUGUAGUACAUUACUAUUACUCAUCCUGAUUUAUCCAACUCGGUUAAUCAAGUAUGCCAGUUUAUGCAUGCACCCAAACUUGCUCACUAGAAGGCUGUCAAACGUAUUAUUCGUUACUUGAAAGCCACACAUACUCAUGGACUUCUCUACAAACCUGGAAAUGCUAGGCUGUUUGCGUUUUCUGAUGCUGAUUAUGCUGGUAAUCCAGAUACCAGACAUUCCACAGGUGGCUACUGCAUUUAUUUGGGUCCCAAUCUUGUUUCCUGGAGUUCAAAGAAACAGAAGAUAGUGUCUAGGUCUAUUGCAGAGGCUGAGUACAGACAGUUGACUUAUACUGCAGCUGAGUUAUCGUGGCUUCGAUCUUUUUUUAAGGAUAUACAUUUGCAUCUUUGUCAACCAACGAUUUGGUGUGACAAUGUUUCUUCCAUUGCACUUGCCUCCAAUCCUGUUUUCCAUUCGCGCACAAGACAUCUUGAGGUUGAUUAUCAUUAUGUUCGGGAAAAGGUUGUUCGUGCUGAAUUAAUAGUCAAUUACAUUUGUUCUUAAGAUCAGCUAGCUGAUCUGUUUACCAAAGGACUGUCAUCGUCACGCUUCAAGUUACUGGUAUCCAAGCUUCCUGUUCUUCCACCCCCAGUCAGCUUGCGGGGGGCUGUUUAGGCCUGGCAAUUCCUGACACGACACGACACGAAAUUAACAGGUGUUUGGGUUGACACGAUAACGAAACGGGUCGUUAUCGGGUAACCCGAUAAGCACCUGUUAAGAUAACGGGUUGGUUCGGGUAUACACGUGGGUAACACGAUACACGAUAAGCAGAAUAUUAAUUUAAUAAUUUUAUAACCCUAAAAAAAUACUAUAAUAAUUAUAUAUAUUAAUUUAACAAUUUUAUACCCUAUAAACUAUAAUAAUUAUAUAUAUAUAUAUUAAAUUAACUAUAAUAAUUAUAAUAAUUAUAUAUACUAUAAUAAUUAUACCCCCAAAAUAUUAACUAUAAUAGUUAUAUUUAUAUAUAUAUAUAUAUAUAUAUAUAUUAAAUUUUAAAUUAAAUUUUAUACCCCUAAAAACUAUAAUAAUUAUACAUACAAAAUAAAUAGAUUUAAAUCUACUUAAUAAAUAAAUAAAAUAUAUGUACACACACACACACCAUUGAACUUCAUGGGAUACGAAUUAUAAGAAACUAAUUUCAACGAUCAAACCGUCAAACUUGUUUGUAUAUGCUUCGAGAUCGCAUCAGCAAAAAAUUACAAAAAAAAAACAUUCACAUAUCAAGUAACGGGACAAAACCUUUCGACGGUUAUAAAUGAAAAAUCACGAUUUAACGGUUAUUUUAACUCCGAUUUUGAUGAUUUUUUACAGCUACACUCCUUUACCCUAUGUGAAUACAAUGAAUGAAUUCGAUCUUCAAUUUAAAAUAUUUACACUAGGGGAUACCAUAAAAUCUUAUGUUAUACUUGAUGAAAGUAUGAAUAAACUCUUAAGUGUUAGUGAAUCUAUUGUUUUGAUGGGAUACGCAUUCUACGAAACUAAUUUCAACGAUCCAACCGUCAAACAUGUUUGUAUAUACUUCGAGAUCGCAUACACCAAAAAUUGCAAAAAACAAACAUUCAGAGAUCAAGUAACGAGACAAAACCUUUCAACGGUUAUAAACGAAAAAUCACGAUUUAACGGUUAUUUUAACUCCAAUUUUGAUAAUUUUUUACAGCUACACUCCUUGACCCUGUAUGAAUACAAUGAAUGAAUUCAAUCUUCAAUUUAAAAUAUUUACACUAGUGGAUACCACAAAUCUUAUGUUAUACUUAAUGAAAAUAUGAAUAAACUCUCAAGUGUUAGUGAAUUUAUUGUUUUGAUGAGAUACGCAUUUUGUGAAACUAGUUUCAACGAUCCAACCGUCAAACUUGUUUGUAUAUGCUUCGAGAUCGUAUACGCCAAAAAUUGAAAAAAACAAACAUUCAGAGAUCAAGUAACGGGACAAAACUUUUCGACGGUUAUAAACGAAAAAUCACGAUUUAACGGUUAUUUUAACUCCGAUUUUGAUGAUUUUUUACAUCUACACUCCUUGACCCUAUAUGAAUACAAUGAAUGAAUUCGAUCUUCAAUUUAAAAUAUUUACACUAGGGGAUACCACAAAAUCUUAUGUUAUACUUGAUGAAAGUAUGAAUAAACUCUUAAGUGUUAGUGAAUCUAUUGUUUUGAUGAGAUACGCAUUCUACGAAACUAGUUUCAAUGAUCCAACCGUCAAACAUGUUUGUAUAUACUUUGAGAUCGCAUACGCCAAAAAUUGAAAAAAACAAACAUUCAGAGAUCAGGUAACAGGACAAAACUUUUCGACGGUUAUAAACGAAAAAUCAUGAUUUAACGAUUAUUUUAACUCCGAUUUUGAUAAUUUUUUUCAGCUACACUCCUUGACCCAAUAUGAAUACAAUGAAUGAAUUCGAUCUUCAAUUUAAAAUAUUUACACUAGUGGAUACCACAAAAUCUUAUGUUAUGCUUAAUGAAAAUAUUAAUAAACUCUCAAGUGUUAGUGAAUAUAUUGUUUUGAUGAGAUACGCAUUUUGUGAAACUAGUUUCAACGAUCCAACCGUCAAACUUGUUUGUAUAUGCUUCGAGAUCGCAUAUGCCAAAAAUUGCAAAAAACAAACAUUCAGAGAUCAAGUAACGGGACAAAACGUUUCGACGGUUAUAAAUGAAAAAUCACGAUUUAACGGUUAUUUUAACUCCGAUUUUGAUAAUUUUUUACAGCUACACUCCUUGGCCCUAUAUAAAUACAAUGAAUGAAUUCGAUCUUCAAUUUAAAAUAUUUACACUAGUGGAUACCACAAAAUCUUACUUGAUGAAGUAUGAAUAAAAUCUUUAAGUGUUAGUGAAUCUAUUGUUUUGAUAGGAUACACAUUCUACGAAACUAGUUUCAACGAUCCAACCGUCAAACAUGUUUGCAUAUACUUCGAGAUUUCAUAUGCCAAAAAUUGAAAAAAACAAACAUUCAGAGAUCAAGUAACGAGACAAAACAUUUCGACGGUUAUAAACGAAAAAUCACGAUUUAACGGUUAUUUUAACUCCGAUUUUGAUGAUUUUUUACAGCUACACUCCUUGACCCUAUAUGAAUACAAUGAAUGAAUUUGAUCUUCAAUUUAAAAUAUUUACACUAGUGGAUACCACAAAAUCUUAUGUUAUACUUAAUGAAAGUAAGAAUAAACUCUUAAGUGUUAGUGAAUCUAUUGUUUUGAUGAGAUACGCAUUCUAUGAAACUAGUUUCAACGAUCUAAUCGUCAUACUUGUUUGUAUAUGCUUCGAGAUCGCAUACGCCAAAAAUUGCAAAAAACAAACAUUUAAAGAUUAAGUAAAGGGAUAAAACUUUUCGACGGUUAUAAACGAAAAAUCACAAUUUAACGGUUAUUUUAACUCCGAUUUUGAUGAUUUUUUACAACUACACUCCUUGACCCUAUAUGAAUACAAUGAAUGAAUUCGAUCUUCAAUUUAAAAUAUUUACACUAGUGGAUACCAUAAAAUCUUAUAUUAUACUUAAUGAAAGUACGAAUAAACACUCUAAUGGGUCACUUUCAUUAAGCUUUUAGUUCCAUUGGCAAGGUUUAAACUUUUGAGAAAGAUUUCACAACCUUGAAAACAAAAAUGCUUUCAUUUUGCAUAUCCUUGCACAUUUAAUAUUUGUAAUAGAUUAGUAGUGUAUGAAUGUAUUUUUUAUGAGGCUCUUAUUUUUUAGUGUAGAUGUAAUACUUAAACGACAAAUGUGUUUUAAUGUUUUGAAGUAAUAUUUAUGUAACAAUGUGUGGCAUGUGCAAAUUUAAGAAAAAAAAAUAUUUUUCUUAACGGGUCAUAACGGGUCGGGUCAUUUUACCCGUUGGGUAAAGUGACCUGACCUGUUAAGGACCCGUUAAGAUAACAGGUGUGACACGACACAACCCGUUAAGAUAACAGAUGUUACACAAAAACGACACGAACACGACUGACACGACUCGUUUGCCAGGCCUAGGGCUGUUAGACAAAGUCAACCGUUGGUGGUAACCAAUACUUCUUGAAGAGUCGUGUUGUGCUUAGAGUCUUAUCUCCUUGUUUAUAGGACUUCCUUUUGAAUUAUUCUUCUAACUGAAACUGGUUGUAAUCUUUGUAGAUUCAGUUUGUAUCUUUUGAAUUUUGAACUUCCGUGUAAAUAGGGUUAAGUCAAACCCUGAUUGUAAUCUGUAAGUGGUUAUAAAUGCAUGCAUCCCACACAUUCAAGGAUAUGCAACUGAAGUGAAAUCUUUGUGUUCUUAAGUUUUACAGUCUUGAGAAAUUUUUUUUUAAGUUAUUAAAAAUUUUAGCAUACAUAUCCCAUCAUUUGUAUAAUAACACGUGAUAUACUAUCUCAUAUAUUGAUUACACUAAAAAAAUCUCUCGGCAUUUGUGGCAAUGACAACCAUGGGCUAUCGCCAUUUACUGUAAGGAGUCCUUCGAGGUGUCGGGCUCCAACCCAUUAAACAGGGAACACACACUUUCAUGAUUCCAUCUUUUCAUGGAUACUGGUAAAAGCUUUUGUAAAUUGUGACCAUGAAUAUGCAUGCAGUUUCUCAAACUAUCCACGUAGAGAUGUGAUUUCAUAACCUACAGUUGCGGGUUUACUAUUCAUUAUCUUCCACACAUAUGUUUGAUUGGGCAAAAACUUCGGAAAAAGAUCAUCGACGGAUUCUUUUUUCUGGAGAUUUUAAGGAUUCUGUGAUCAAGAUCCAUUGUAAAUCUUGUAGUAAAAAAUUAUUUUACAAUUAAAAAUUAAAUGUAAACAGUACUUAACAAAAAAUAAUCACACGAUAUAUAAUUAAAUGAUCGUGAUCAUAAAAUCCCUAGAAUCUUAGAAAAAAUAAAAAUAUAAUGCGAGAGAAUCCUACUUCAGAAAGAUCCUUUUCCAAAAGCUUCCUUCUCUUGGACAAGACUGAGGCCAAGGUCAAAUGUUAUUGAUUGAGAUGCGAAAAGAUAACCUCCAUUUUUCCAAAAAAAUUUAAAGGUAAUUUUGAUUACUUAAUUAAAGGUGAAAAGGCAAAAGGAGCUAAUUGUACGAGGACAUGUGUGGAUUGUAUAUCAAUCAACAAACAACAUUUCAUUUUACUUUUUUUACAAUCGAAAUUUGUCAUCAGUCGAUGAGAUUCUUGCUUCCAUGGAAGCAACGAAGAAGAAAGAGGAAAAACUCUCCAAUUUUAUUAUAGUUUUUAGAUAACUAGUAAUACCCUAUGUGCUUUUGGAAUAUUGUUAUUGUAUAUUACUCUUUGAGCAGAAAGAGUUUCAUUUAGCAUUUUUUUCAUGUGUCCGUUUUAUGUGCGGUAGUUAUUGAUGUUUGCGCUUUUGGAUCCGAUCAAUCUUAUAAAUUUAUAACAAAAAUUAAAUUGCAGUGUUUGUAUGACACUUAAAUUAGGUCUUCUUAGGUUUCACUAGGAGAGAGUUUGCACGAUGUUCGUGUACGGCGAUUGGUGUCAAGUUACCUUGAUCUUGUGUUUGUAGUUCUACGGGCAUAGGUAAGUGGUUGUUUGGUCCAACUAAUCCACUUUGUUGGAUACAUUUUCAGCUGAUGGUUCAGGCUGGUUUCACAGCAUGUGGAAGUCAUGGUUGCAUGCUUUGUCAUAGGGUUGACGCUCACUACACAGCAAUGGUUGAAUACUAACAAGUUUGUGGGCGGAAGAUCCCCCUGAUUUGCUUAGGGAUAUUUUGUAAUUUGCUUAUGUAUUGACAUUUGAGGUGCGUCCUUUCGUCGUGCAGGACACUCUUUUUUCUUUGACCGAGUUGAAAGCUUCGGCAAAGUUUUAUUGAGGCCCACUGUGCACACUAUCCUCAGUUUGUUCUCAAACUGUACUUGUUCUAUGUUGUUUGAAAUGAAUAUCGAAUAUCUUCUUUCUGUCAACAAAAAAAAAAAAGAAAAAUUAGUUUGGACUUCUUGUGUUAGAACUAAUGUUUUUAACAUGGUGUAUAAACUUAAAUAUCCCAUAUAUUUUUUUCAUCUACUGUAUAAAAAACGAAAAAUACAUAUGUUAAUCACUUAUACAAUACAACCAAAUGAGAAUAAGAAAAUUUCAUAAUUUGAACAAAUUAUGGGAGAGUCCAUAUGCGCAUGAUUUCUGACUUAGUAAUGUAGGGCAUAGUUGGCCGGCAGCAAAAAUUUAAUAGCUUAGCAUAAGCAAAAAUUAUAAUAAAAGGAUAACUGGAAUCGCUCCAGGGGUCUCUCACCCGUCAUUGACCUUUCACCAAGAAUUUUGGCAUCUAUCCCAUCUCAGGGCUAGAAUUUUAAUCUCUGGAAGGCAUAGCUUUUCUAUUAAACUCUUCAUUAUUUGUUAAUCUGAAUUACAAGCGAAUUUUAUAAAGCCUAAAACCUAAUGACCGCAUGAAGGUAAACUUAUUAUAGUAAAGAAAUCAUAAUCCAAAAUAGAAUGGGACACUAUAUCUAAUCCUAUUCAAACUGGAAAGAAUUAUAGAGCUCGUUGAAAGUACUUUUAAAAUGACUGAAAGUGCUUUUGAUAAAAAUGAUUUUGGAACCAAUGCUUAGUAAAAAUGCAAGUAAAUUCUGAAGAAAAAAAAAACAUUUAAAUUGUUUUAUGAAAUAAGCAUAUAAUUGGUGGUUCUUAUAGUAAGCACUUUAAGUGCUUUUGAAACCAAAAAAUAUUUUAUUUAAAAGCGUUUUUAAUCAUUUUAAAAAUAUUUUAAAAUCAACGUAACUAACCCCCUAGAUAUUAAACUACUAAGGACUAAAGAUUAAAAAGGCUAAAUACCCUUUAAAUAAGGAAGUCACCACUCGUGUUCCACGUGGCUUAGCUAUUACUAAUUUACUAUCACCAAUAAUUGAUGAAAGAUAAUAUCAAAAUAGAGGCAUAGAGUCAGCUAAUCUUUUAUUUUUUUGGUGAACAGAGUCAGCUAAUCUGGAACCUCUCUUUUUCAUGUAAAGUUCCUUAUCGACGAAGAAAAAUGUGCUAUAUAUUAUUUAUUCGUGUGUUUCAAAAGUGAAUAGUCUCUUUAGUAAGGUGGUGACCUUAAAUAAACUUGAGGUGCAAUUGUAAAAUUAAUUGGUAAAUAAUGAGUAGUUCACUUCUUUAUAAGGAAAAUUAAUGAAAAGGGUUUUUGAAAACUUUGAAUUUUAAAGAUAAGGACAUAAUAAAGGGUAAAAUGAAAAGUACAAGGUUUGACUUUUUAGUGUAAAAAUGUGGUUUUUCGUUAAAGUGAACAGUACCGCGGGUUUUUCAUUAAAACUUCAUUCUUUAUAAGCUCUUGUAUGAUUUGAUUUCUCAUCGAUGUGAGAUUUUGUCUUUACAUUCUCACACUCUUCUCGCACUUGAUGAAUUUUAAAACCUAACACGUAGACAAUACAAAUUUGGUGACGUGGAACAAGUGUGGUCAUUGGACUUCAAAUGUGGACUAAUAUGGAGAGUAGUCUAACUCUUCAUAAGCUGUUUCAUGAUUUGGUUAAUCACUGAUGUGGGACUUUGUCCUCAUAUUCUCACACGCUCCCUUAUGUGGUGAAUAUUCAGGCUUAACAUAUGAACAUAAAUUGAAUGACAUGGGGUAGGUGUGGCCAUCAAACUUCAUACAUGGACCAACCUGCUUUAAUACGAUGAAAACAAUUAAGGUUCCACCAUAAAACUAAUUGACAAUAUAAAAAGUAAUCAAACUGUUUAUAAGCUCUUGCAUGAUUUAGUCUCUCGCUACGUGAAACUUUUUCAUCGUAUCCUGACAAAUCUUGCUCAUAAUUAAUUUGAUAGUUGCGGUUCUGACGAACGGUGGGUUUUAGUAGGGGUGGGUUCUUCGUUGCUCCUUCACAGGGCGCAUCAGGUUCUGUUUCCAUGUGCAUAAUAAGUUGCUGCCAUGACAAACACUCAAUCUUUUCAACUUCAUACUCUUCAGAGCAUCACCGAGAAUGAGAACAAGAUAAAGUUGUUAUUUGGCAGGGUAGGCUAAAAUUGGUCUCAUGAUAUGUACAUAGUAUAUUUUGUAAAAAUGUGGAGUGUUGGUCCAUAUCGUAAGGUUAAUAAACUUUGUUAAUUUGUUACAUAGUGCAUAAAAUCUCAAUUUUCUUUAAAGUAUCAAAGUCGGUUGAAUCACAUGUUUAAUUCUUCUAUCGCAGUAUGAGAGUUAAUUGAACUACAUGUUUGUUUUGAAUGUCACUGAACAUGAGAGAGUCUGUGAGUAUGUAAAGGGUUGAUCCACAUCAAAAAGUUAAGAAACUGUUGUGAUUUUAGGUUGUCCUGGAAGAUGCGUUUCACCAUUUGAUGUAGCUCGUAUGGGAAGCCAAACUUUUUCUUCUUUUGCUAACUUUUUUUUUUUUUUUUUGUUGAAGAACAAGGAAAUUCAUUCCAGGCUAAGAAGCCAAGAAGCUACAGGAAAGCCUACAAAGAGGCAAACACCAAGAAAGACAGACCAGGACAAAAGCUGUGAAAGGGAAUGCAACCUCAAGGGUCAAGACACUUGCACCAAGUGAAAGCAUCACCCCAAACAUCAUCACAGCUAAAUUAAUACGGACACGGAAGAUCAUCAUUGUUCAAAACAUAAAUCAACAAAAACAGGGCUGAUCGACUCAAACAGAUUCAUUCAUCUCUGAAAAAUCAACCGACGCAAGCACAUGCGCUGUCCCAUUGGCCGAGACCAGGGACAGUUCUGGAAAACCACCCCCCCCCCCCCCCCCUAUUUUAGGGAUUCUCCUUCUCUUAGAGCAACUCCACCCAUGGAGCCCUGUCCCCUGGCAAUCCACUAUUCAAUCCACCCUAUUGAACAAUAACUGCCUUAAAUGAAUAGUAAUUACCAUUAAUGAACAGUAAUUGCCAUUUACAUCUCCACCCUUAGAACCCUCCCCUGGCAAUAAGCAAUAAAAAUAAUAGUUUUUUAUGUUUGUUUAAAUAAUAAAAAAAUUACAAAAGCUAUCUCUCUCUCUCUAACACAAAAAAAAUAAAAAAAUACAAAACCCUCGGGCCACAGGCCCGUCGACUCCCCACCCCCCCUUCGCUCGACCUCCCACCCUCACUCGGGCCCUUCCCCGCUGGAUUUGCUCCCACCGGCCCGAGGGCCCUUUCUCCUCGCCUGACGCCCGAGCAACCAGCAAGGCUGGAGUUGCUCUUAUUCAGGUUGACAUCGGAGUCGGCAUCCCUUAAUGAUGUUAACAUCGGAGUGGUUGCCCUUCUCUUAAUGAUGUUCGGAGUGAUGUUGACAUCGGAGUGGUUGCCCUUCGCUGAAUGAUUUGACAUCGGAGUGGUUGCCCUUGUCUUAAUGAUUGUUGACAUCGGAGUGGUAUGGAAUCUUUGACUAAGAAAACCCCAGCAAACGUUGCCGGGUCCAACUCCACCAACCGACAGACAAAUAAAAGUGAUGGUGGGACUUGUGGAUGAGAAUAGUUUGUCACAUACCAAUUAAUUGAGUGAGUAAGAUAAAUUACAUUUAAUUAAUUAGUUAUUUGCCACAAUAACACAAAGUUUGUUGGCUGAUUUUUAAUUGAUAAUUACAUGUAAUUAAUUAGUUGUUUGCCACCACCCGAUAACACUCAUACUCUCCCACUAUUUCGAUUGAUAAAAGUAAUUCGUGGAUUGUUUUGUGGUCCCCGUGACAGUACCUAGUAAUAUAUAUCCUUCGGAUAAGAAUCUUUUUAUUUAUUUAUUUUUUAUGAGAAAUCUUAAAAUUCUUACAUUGUGAUCGUUCAUUAUACAUCAUACAAUUAGUUUUCGUUAGAUCUUAUUUGUGUUUAAUUUUAAACAAAAUAAUUUAUAAUUGCACGAUAUACAAUAAAUAGUUAAGAUGUGAGAAUUUCUAAAAUUCCCACACUUUGAAUGCGAUGGAAUCCAAAUCCAUAUCUUUCAUCCACGUGAGAACCAGCUGGUCUGCAUAUGACUUGGACCAAAUACUUAAUUUACAGUUCCUAGCUAGUUAUUAUUUGGCAAAUAAUUUCUUUUCGUAUGAUUCUUCCUCAUUUGACCUCAACCUCUUAAACUUGUAAAUCUCCCACGAGUCCCGACAUAGUUGUGCCCUACUUUUAAGCGCGGUUAAAUUAUUUUUCAACCCAUUAGAAUUUCAGGUCAUGGCAAUUAUUUUAAGGAAAACUAAUGAAAAUGGCUUGAAAACUUUGAAUUUUAAUGAUAAGGACAAAAUAAAGGGUAAAGUGAAUAGUACCAGGAUUGACUUUUUAAUGUAAAAAUGUGGUUUUUCGUUAAAAUGAACAGUACCGGGAGCUUUUCGUUAAAGUUUCCAUUAUUUUAUUGUUUGAAUGUAGGAAAAGUUGAAAUAUGACAAUCUGGUAAAGUAAUAUAAAUAUUAUAGUUUUCCGAGAUAUGUGUGCAUACAAAGUUACAACCACACAUCACGUGUUUGAUUAUUUCAGUUUACUAUAUGAUCGUAAUUUGUUUUUAAUUAAUAUAGUAAAAAUUGAAAUUACACAAUAAAAUUAAUUGGGAAUUUUAAGUCUAAACUUGGACAACGAAGCACGCAACUAUUCAGGUUCACACAUGCCUAAAAAUAUCUUUAAUAUCAAGAAGAAAAUUAAAAUUUAACCAUAAAAUUAAUUCACAAUAUAAAAUGUAGCUGAACUUUUUAUAUAGAAGCGCAUACAAUAUUUUUUUCCCGUUAAGAUUCUCUCCUAGCAUCAUAUUACUGUAUGUAUUUAGGAUAGGUUAAACAAAAGUAAAAGGAUACUCGAUGGACUAUGACCUUUUAUAUAAAAUGCAGGGCAUAUAUUUUAUGCAUAAGGUUCGAAAACUGUUGACCUUGUUAACAAUGAAAGUCUCUUUUCCUUAAUUGAUGGAUCUCGCAGAUUGAUACACUUUUGUUGUGUGAUUAUUAACGUAUUAGCUGAUCAAUUGAUGCAUGUGGUCCUUCGUUACAAUCAAUGAUGCUUGUUUAAAAUAAUAUUAGGCUGGCACAACUUUGUAAUACUACUUGAUUUAUUAUAUUAUUAUUUUGAUUUCACACGAUGAUUUGUUAUCCAGAGCGUUAGAGGCAAGACAUAGUACCUUAGAGUUUAGGAUUGUUUAAUUUAAUUUUAAUAUGAGGUGAUAAUAAAUCACUCACCCACUAACAUAUGGUUUUAGGAUGAUAAAUCCUAACAGCAGCAAAAGGAAUGUAGACCGUCGACUUAAUCCAUAUGUACCCCUCUGCUUGCUAUUUUGUUUGUUGUCUAUUUCUCUCUCCCUUUUUUGGAAGGGAAUUUUGCUGUUCCCAUGAAAUGGUAUUACCAAUGGAGGCAGAUUGACUGCCCUCCUGGUUGUGGUGUCCUUCCAUGCCUUUUUAUUUGUACUGUCACGAUAAAGUUACGUUAAUAUUUUAUAUUUUUAUUGUUUUUUGUCUUAUUAUCUUUAUUAAAAAAUUAAUAUAAAAUGUUGACGUAGCUUAACCGUGACCGUAAAAAAUAAGAGGGCAUGGAAGGGCACCACAACUAGGAGAAAAAAGCGUGAGCCGUUAUUAAACAUUAUAAAGUUGAUGAUUAUCAAUGGCGGAUGCAUACUCUCUUCGAAUUCCUAAAAAGCACACGCAAUGUCAAUUUUAUUUUUAGGAAAAUUAACGAAAAGUAAAAAAAAAUUAUCUUUUAACGAAAAAUCAUUUUUAAUGGUAUAAUAAAUAGUAACAGUUAAAGAUAAAAAUGUGAUUUUUCAUUAAAAGUAAAUAGUAUCAAGAGUAUUUUAUUAAAAUUCCUUCUUUUUUUUUCAAUUUAAAUAAGACAUUUUAUUGAGCACUUGACCAGCUGCCAAUAUUUCGUGUUAUUUUAAUUAUAUAUUUAAGAUCAAUAUUUUGAUUCCUGCUCAGACCAAUUUUUUUAGACCAAAACUUGAGGAGGCACGUGCCCACUUUGAUCCUUGCCAAGAUUUGACCCUCAUCACUGGCAGGGCCGCUUCAGAUCGAUGGCCAAAUAAAAAAAGAAGGCAGAUUCUCUGCCCUCUCAUUUCUUGUGUCAUUCUGUGCCUUUUUGUUUAUAUGAUCACAGUUAAGUCACGUUAAUAUUUUAUAUUAUUAUUUAUUUUUAUCUUAUUAUAUAUAUAAAAAAUAAUAUAAAAUAAUGACGUUACUUAACCGUAACUAUACAAAACAGAAGAAUAUAGAAAAUGAAAGGGCAGAGAAUCUGCCUUCAAUAAAAAUACAAGUAGAUAAGCCAUCUGAAAAAAUAAUUGUACGUACAUAAAUAAAUAAAUAUAUACAUACACACACAUAGCACACAAGUAACUCCAAAUCCUUGAUAUAUUUCGGAUCAAAACUCACCAAACGUCCCACGAGCAUACCUCACCAAACGUCGCUCACCCCUAGCAUUAACCAAAGCAACGAAGGAAAAACAACAAGGUUAGGAGAGGAAGGAUCACAUCACUAAUCACGCUCUUGUUAAGAUGUAGGGUAGACUUCUUAAAAUAAUAAUACCGACAUUUGAACCACAUACAAGUGCAAGUUUCUUACCUAAGUGAGGGUGAUGCUCAGUCUCCUAUUUUAAAGUAAGAGUGAAGCUCAACCUUAUUAAUUAUUGUUAAAUUAGUUUAAAUUUUAAAAUUCAUAUUUUAAAUCAAUUAAACUAAACUAAUUUAACGGUAAGUAAGAGUGAACAUCACCCCAUUUUAGAGAUGAACAAAGUUGCACUCAUGUUUUAAUUAGCAGCCAAGCUGGGGUCCACAACUUUAAACGUAUGGUUUGUAGAUGUGACACAUAAACAUCGUUUCUCCAGUACAAAAUUGUCACCUUUCGCAAGAGAUAUGAUUUAUGUAAUAUCCAAUUAUUAACAUGAAGUUCCAAUAUAUUCAUUUCGUAAAUGUGAUAAAGAAAAUAAGAGGUAAUAUUUUUUUCCGAAUUCGGACGUUGAAUCCUUUUUAUGAGGAUUUUAAAGAACUGUGAAUUAUAUUCGUUCAUUGUAUAUCAUAUAAUCAUAAAUUAUUUUAAAUACAAAUAGUACCUGACAAAAACUGACCGCACGAUAUACGAUGAACGAAAAUGAUUUACGAUUCAGAAUUCUCAUCAAAAGAAUCUAGGGUCAUGUAGGUUUUUUUCCUUGGUCAAAAAAAAAUAUAACAUUAUAAUAUUUAAUUGUUAAACGUGUUUCUCCCACCCAAUUAUUCAAGCAUCAUAUUUCUUGGAAUUAUCUCUCUCUCUCUCUCUCUCUCUCUCUCUCUCUCUCUCUCUCUCAUUCAUUUUUAUGCGUACUCAAUGAGUGGUAAUGGAGUAGGUGCUCCAAUAUUAAUUAUGCAUACACAUUUUUAGUGUGCGGUCCCUCUGGUUUCCACUAUAAAAACAUCAUACUCCCCUUUCCUUCUGAAUUGCAGAGUGGAAAGGAAAACUAAUUCAGCCAUGGCUUCAUCUCCUUUACCAUCAACUUCUACAAUGGCCGCCGUGCACUCCACCACAACCACCCCCUUCCGCUCUCCUUUAUUCCCAAACAAGUACCAGACUUCAUUGCAACGAAAACCCAAACAAUGCCUUGCAGGCAGAGUGCGCUGUAAAGCAACAAAAGGUGACAAUGAAAACCUAGACCAGGGCCUAGCAAGACUCGACAGGAGGAACAUGCUGAUAGGUUUAGGCGCUGGGGGUCUCUACGGUGCAGCAGGAAACCCAUUUGCUUUUGCAGCACCGGUAUCCGCCCCAGAUCUGACCACGUGUGGUCCUGCCGACAAGCCAGACGGGUCCACCAUCGAUUGUUGCCCACCCACCACGACGACCAUCAUCGACUUCAAACUCCCUGACCGAGGCCCACUCCGCACUAGGCUCGCUGCCCAGGACGUUGCAAAAAACCCUGCAUACUUGGCCAAAUACAAAAAGGCCAUCGAGCUGAUGCGGGCACUUCCAGACGACGACCCGCGCAGUUUCGCCCAACAGGCCAAAGUCCACUGCUCUUACUGCGAUGGUGGAUACCCACAAGUCGGAUACUCGGAUUUGGAGAUCCAAGUUCACUACUGUUGGCUCUUCUUCCCGUUCCAUCGUUGGUACCUCUACUUCUACGAGAAAAUCAUGGGGGAGCUCAUUGGGGACCCAACCUUCGCCCUCCCCUUCUGGAACUGGGACGCACCAGCUGGAAUGUACAUUCCUGAGAUUUUCACUGAUACGUCGUCAUCCCUCUACGACCAGUAUAGAAAUGCAGCGCAUCAGCCCCCGAAGCUCUUAGACUUUAAUUACAGCGGGACCGACGAUAACGUCGACGACGCAACACGAAUCAAAGAGAACUUAACAACAAUGUACCAGCAGAUGGUGUCAAAGGCCACUUCUCACAGACUCUUUUUUGGAGAGCCCUACAGCGCAGGGGACGACCCAAGUCCUGGUGCCGGAAACAUUGAGAGCAUUCCCCAUAACAAUAUUCACUUUUGGACUGGCGACCCAACCCAGACAAAUGGGGAGGACAUGGGGGCCUUUUACUCUUCGGGGAGGGAUCCGCUGUUUUACUCCCACCAUUCCAACGUCGACCGCAUGUGGUCUAUAUAUAAAGAUAAGUUGGGAGGUACGGACAUAGAAAAGACUGACUGGUUGGACACGGAGUUUUUGUUCUACGACGAGAAAAAGAAUCUUGUGCGCGUCAAGGUUUGUGACUCGCUCGACACGAAAAAACUCGGGUACGUGUACGAUGAGAAAGUCCCGAUCCCGUGGCUGAAAUCGAAGCCGACAACUCGUAAGUCGACGAAUAAGAGAAAGGCCGCAGUUUCAUCUUCUGAUCUUACUACAACGUUCCCUGCUACACUGUCGGAUACAAUCAGCGUCGAGGUGACGAGGCCAUCUGCGACGAAGCGGACAACUGCCCAGAAGAAGGCGCAGGACGAGGUGCUGGUGAUUAAGGGGAUUGAGUUUGCCGGGAAUGAGACUGUGAAGUUCGACGUGUAUGUGAACGAUGACGCGGACUCACUGGCCGGGAAAGACAAGUCGGAGUUUGCUGGGAGUUUUGUUCACGUGCCGCAUAAGCAUAAGAAAAAUAUUAAGACGAACCUGCGGCUGAGCAUUACAAGCUUGUUGGAGGAGUUGGAUGCGGAGACAGACAGCAGUUUAGUGGUGACUUUGGUGCCAAAAGUUGGGAAGGGGCCAAUCACCAUCGGAGGGUUUAGCAUUGAGCUCAUUAAUACUACCUAAGUAUUAUUUAAUGUUAUUGUUGUCCUUGUUGGGUUGGCUUAUUCGUGUUUUUCUAGCCAAGUAAUCUUGAAUGUAAUGUGCUCAUCUACUACUUAUGUGGCAAAUGACGGUUGGUGUUCCUCGUGAAUAAAAGCACUAUGUGUUUCGGUGUGUUUAUUUAUUGAAUAAAGAAUUGAUGGUAGAUAGAGUUUAAUCAUAAUUUUCUAGAAUUAUUGAUGGUAGAGUUCUCAAAAAAUUAAGAGCAUGUUUGGUAUCUCAUUCAAAAAAAUUCAUCAUUGUACAAAACAUUUCUUAAAAAUAUGUCUUAAGAAUAAUUUUCUUUAACAUUCAAAAACUUAUUUAGUAUGAAAUUCACAAUUGUUUUUAAAAGAAAAAAAAAACUCAUCCUAUAGAUUGUUAACUUUUUCUUUUAAUUUGAGGGAUUCUCCUUCUCUUAAUGAUGUUGACAUGGGAGUGAUAUGGUUCGUGAAUUUUGACUAAGAAAACCCCUGCAUUCAUGAGUCAUGAUUCAUGACAAACGUUGUUGGGUCCAACUCCUCCAACCGACGUACAAAUAAAUGUGAUAGUGUGACUUGUGGAUGGGAAAGGGGGAUUACGUAUCACACGAGAAUAGUUUGUCACAUACCAAUAAAUUGAGUAAGUGAGACAAAUUACACGUAAUUAAUUAGUUAUUUGCCACAAUAACACAAAGGUUGUUGGCUGAUUUUUAAUUGAUAAUUACAUGUAAUUAAUUAGUUGUUUGCCACCACCCAAUAACGCUCAAACUCUCCCACUAUUUCGAUUGAUAAAAGUAAUUCGUGGAUUAUUUUGUGGUCUCCGUGAUAGAACCUAGUAAUAUAUAUCCUUCGGAUGAGGAUUUUAUCCGGAUUCUAUCUUAGAAUCUCCACAUUAUGAUUGUUUAUUGUAUAUUAUACGGUCAGUUUUCGUUAAAUACUAUUUGUUUUUAAUUUUAAAUAAAAUAAUUUCUAACCGCACGAUUUACGAUAAACAGUUAAGAUACGAAGAUUCCUACUAUUCUCACAAUUUGAAUCUGGAAUCCAAAUCCAUAUCUUUCAUUUCAUCCAUGUGACAACCAGCUGGUCUGCAUAUGACUUGGAUCAAAUACUUAAUUUACAGUUGCUUGCUAGUUAUUAUUUGGUAAAUCAUUUCUUUUCGUAUGUUUCUUCCUCAUUUGACCUCAACCUCUUAAGACUUGUAAAUCUCCCACGAGUCCAGACAUAGUUGUGCCCUACUUUUAAGCGCGGUUUAAUUAUUUUUCAACCCACUAGAAUUUCAGGUCAUGGCAAUCAUUUUAUUGUUUGAAUGUAGGAAAAGUUGAAUUAUGACAAUCUGGUAAAGUAAUGUAAGUAUUUUAGUUUACCGAGAUUUGUGUGCAUACAAAUACACACAUCACGUGCUUGAUUAUUCUUGUUUACUAUAUGAUCGUAAUUUGUUUUUAAUUAAUAUAGUAAAAAUUGAAAUUACACAAUAAAAUUAAAGAAAAACUAAUAAAAAGAGUUUGAAAACUUUAAGUUUUAACAAUAAGGAUAAAAUAAAGAAUAAAGUGAAUAGUAGUAGGAUUAACUUUUUAAUGUAAAAAUGUGGUUUUUCGUUAAAGUAAAUAGUAGCGGAAACUUUUCGUUAAAGUUCUCUAAAAUUAAUUAGAAAUUUUAAGUCUAAAACUUGGACAACGAAGCACGCAACUAUUCGACUUCACACAUGCCUAAACAUAUCUUUAAUAUUACAAAGAAAAUUAAAAUUUAAUUAUAAAAUUAAUUGACAAUAUAAAAUAUAGCUAAACUUCUUAUAUAUAAGGGUACUAGAUGGACUAUGACCUUAUUAUAUAAAAUGCAGGAUAUUAUUUUAUGCAUAGGGUUCGAAAACUGUUGACCUUGUUAACAAUGAAAGUCUCUUUUCUUUAAUUGAUAGAUCUCGCAGAUCGAUACGCUUUUGUUGUGUGAUUAUUAAUGUAUUAGCUGAUCAAUUGAUGCAUGUGGUCUUUCGUUACAAUCAAUGAUGCUUGCUUAUAAUAAUAUUAGGAUGGUGCAACUUUGUAAAACUACUUGAUUUAUUAUAUUACUAUUUUGAUUUCACAAGAUGAUUUGUUAUCUGAGCGUUAAAGGUAGGACAUAGUACCUUAGAGUUUAGGGUUGUUUAAUUUAAUUUUAAUAUGAGGUGACAAUAAAUCACUUACCCACUAACAUAUGAUUUUAUGAUGAUAAAUCCUAAUUAGCAGCAAAAGGAAUCAAGACCGUCGAUUUAAUCCAUAUGUACCCCUUCUACUUGCUCUUUUGUUUGUUGUCUAUUUCUCUCUCCCUUUAUUUUAAGGGAAUUUUGCAGUUCCCGCAAAAUGAUAUUAUCAUUUUACUCCAAUUAUAGAACGUGUAUCUGUUUAAUAUUCGGUUGUAUCUAGAACCCUGUCACGUUGUCCAACCAUAGUAACACAUUGAAUAUUAUAUGACAAAUAUUUUAUAUACACAAAUAUGUCUCCUUAUUUGUUUCUUCCCAAAGAAUUUCUUACGCACGAUGUUGUAGCUUGUAUUUGUUUACCACUAGGGGUAGGGGCAAAGAUAGAAAGUUAUUUAAUGGGGACACAACUGAGCAAUGGUGGAUACAGACCCUCUUGGAAUUCCAAAAAGAGCACACACAAUGCCAAUAUUUUUUCAAUUUAAGUAAGGCAUUUUGUUGAGCACUUGGCCAGCUGCCCAUAUACCUAUUUGUGUACUUAGUGUUCAUCGUCACCCUUUGUGUUAUUUUAAUUGUAUUUUUAAGAUCAAUAUUUUUAUGGUGAAAAAUAGAUAAAUUGUAUAGGUAUAGGGUUAGUAGGUCAAAUUCAUUAGAUGUAUAGAAGGAAGAAAUUUUUCUUCGUGAGCUGUCAUAAAUAACUCUACAACUAAACAUUUUUAUGUUAUACAUAUCUGCCUGAAUGAGAAGCGAGUGAUAGAGUUAGACCUAGUUUGGGAGUGAGGUGCUUAAAAAAAAACACCCAUGAAAAAAAGCUGUGAGGGUUUUAGGUGUUUGGUAAACUGAAAAAAAAGGCUUAUUUUGGAAGCUGCUGUGAGAAUAAGCUGAAAUCAAAGGAAAAAGAUGAAGCUGUUAUUUGCAGCUUUGGAAAAUUGGUUUUUUUUCAAAGCACACGGAGCUACAGGGCUUCUUUAAUGAAAAGACCCACUAUUAGACUGCUUUUUUUUCCAAAAACCCUUUUACAAAAAAGUUUACCAAACACUCUGCUGAUUUAUUUCACAGCCGCUUAUUCUCACAGCAGCUUUUUUUCAAAGCACAACAAUACCAAACCAGCCCUUAGUAGUUGCUGUCGUGUAUUGAUUAUUAUUUAUUGUAGUCCAAUUUGAGCGGCGGGAGGUGAAUAUAAUUAAGCAGACUUUUGAUUCUUGCUCAGACAAUUUUUUAAGACCAAAACUUGAGGAGGCACGUGCCCACUUUGAUCCUUGCCAAGAUUUGCCCUGAUCACUGGCCAGGGCUGCUUCAGAAUCCGAACGGUGGCCAAAUAAAAAGACAAGUAGAUAAGCCAUCUGAAAAAAUAAUUGUACGUACAUAAAUAAAUAUAUAUAUACACACACACUUACAAGUAACUCCAAAUCCUUGAUAUAUUUCGGAUCAAAACCCACCAAACCUCCCACGAGCAUACCUCACCAAACGUCACUCACCCCUAGCAUUAACCAAAGCAACGAAGGAAAAACAACAAGGUUAGGAGAGGAAGGAUCACAUCACUAAUUACGCUCUUGUUAAGAUGUAUGGUAUACUUCUUAAAAUAAUAAUACUGACGUUUGAACCACAUACAAGUGUAACUUUAUUACCUCUUGCAAAGUUGCACUCAUGUUUUAAUUACCAGCCAAGCUGGGAUCCACAGCUCUUUAAUCAUAUGGUUUGUAAACGUCACAGAUAAACAUUGUUUGUCUAGUACAAAAUUGCCACCUCUCUCAAAAGAUAUGAUCUAUGCAAUAUCCAAUUAUUAAUGUGAAGUUCCAAUAUUUUUUUUUAUUUUUAAAAAGGAACAACCGGUGGUAAAGUACGACUAUCCAUCUUUUUUUGAAGUCAGGAAUACUCAUAGAGGCAUUUCAGCUUCCUUAGGCCUACAAGUUUGACUUUCACUCCAGCAACGGAUUUCGAAUUUGAGACCUUCAGCUUUUAGUUUUAAAAAAAUUUCAUAAUCCUCUAUUUACAACUGAAUCACUAUCUCGUAGUUAAGUUCUAAUAUAUUUAAUUCGUAAAUAUGAUAAAGAAAGUAAGAGGUAAUAUUUCUUCCUCGGUCGAAAGAAAAUAUAACAUUAUAAUAUUUAAUUGUCAAACGUGUUUGGUGCUGGAGUAGGUGCGCUGCAUAUUCUAGGUUUUGGAGAUAAAAGAACAGAAAACAUGACCUCAUCGACAGCGAAAAGAUUAACGAAUCCUACACUCUGCACUCAUGCAUGUUCACUACCUUUUUUCUUACUUUUGUGAAAGAAGUAUUUUUCUUUUUUAACUUUUGAAAUUAAAUAAUGAUAUAAAUUUGCAGGUAAAAUUUUAUAAACUAAAUAAUAGGGAAAUUUGAAAAAAUAAUCAAAAUUUGAACUUCAUAUAGAACUAUAGCCACUCUUUUAAAUUUAUGAUAAUUAUAACAAAAAAUUGAUAUGUAAAUACUAAUAUACCUUUAAAAUAGAAAUUGAGAGAUAAGGAGAGUUUGAAAACAAAUCCAAAAAACCCAAAUCAAAUAUGAGAUUAUCCCAAUGUCUUACUGAGUUCUUUUUUUUUGGUUCCAAAGAAAAAAAAUAGACUGUGUUAAUAAAAGGAUUUUCUCGUUUUGAUUUGUGUGUGAUAAGAAAAUUUUAUUUAUUGUCGUUCAAAAAUGAUCUUUUGUUGGAUCCACUCCCGAAGAGCAUGGUCUGGGAAGCCAUGAACACUCAUGGCUAAGAUCACUUGGAGAUCAUGUCAAUAUAUAUAUUUACUGCCCCACACCACACACAUUGAUUCGUUUACAUUAGCAAUUUUUGUUUUUUACAAGUUUGGGGCAUCUAGCAAGCAUGAAAAAAAAGAUCAUUACCUAUUAGCUGCUUUUUGUCCAUUGCAAAUUUUGUAUCAGCUUUCAUUUGGCAUUUCUCUUCUGUAUUAUCUGAUUUCGAUAUGUCAUUUGUCUCUGAACUUGUAGUAGAAAGGGGAUUUAAUUGUCAAUUUUUUGUGUUUUUAUUUUGAUACAAAAUUAUAAAGGUGUAUCAAAGGGUAUAUUAGUACUUUUAUAUCAAUUUUGGGUUAUAAUUAUCAUAAACCUAAAAUGGUGGCUAUAAUUCUAUAUGGGAUCCAAAAUUUGGUUACUUUUCCAAAUAGAAGUUGAUGAUGGGUAAUCACUUAAGCGACGUGCUAAUUUUUAUUAGUGACAAAUUAUUUAGUUUGCAAAUUUUAUUUAUAUAUUUAAUCUCUUUAGCAUUACACUUUGAAAUUCUUGGGAGACUAAAUUUGAAGAUAAAAUUUGUAAACUAAUGAUUGAAUUAUUACUUAAGCGUUGAUAAACAUACUCAUUUACUAUUGAUAACAUAUCAUUUAGUUUGCAAAUUUAAUAUCUCUAACAUUACUUCACCAUUAAUUAUGCAUACGCACAUUUUUAGUGUGCCGUCCCACCAGUUUCCACUAUAAAAACAUUGCAAUCCCAUUUCCUUCUUAAUUGCAAAGUGGAAAGGAAAACCAAUUCAACCACGGCUUCAUCUCCCUUACCACCAACUUCUACAAUGGCCGCCCUGCCAUCCACCAUAACCACCAUCUUCCGCUCUCCUUUAUUCCUAAACAAGUCCUAGACUUCACUGCAACGAAAACCCAAACAAUCCCUUGCGAGCAGAGUGCGCUGCAAAGCAACAAAAGGUGACAAUGAUAACCUAGACUAGGGCCUAGCAAGACUCGACAGGAGGAACAUGCUAAUAGGUUUAAGCAUCGGGGGUUUCUACGGUGUGGCAUGAAACCCAUUUGCUUUUGCCACACCAGUAUCUGCCUCAGACCUGACCAUGUGUGGCCCUGCCGACAAGCCAGACGGGUCCACCAUCGAUUGUUGCCCACCUACCACCACGACCAUCAUCGACUUCGAACUCACUGACUCAGGCCCACUUUGCACUAGGCCCGCUGCCCAGGACGUUGCAAAUGACCCUGAAUACUUGGCCAAAUACAAAAAGGCCGUCGAGCUAAUGCGGGCACUUCCAGACGACGACCCGUGCAGUCACGCCCAACAGGCCAUGGUACACUGCUCCUACUAUGACGGUGGAUACCCACAAGUCGGAUAUUUGGAUUUGGAGAUCCAAGUUCACUAUUGUUGGCUCUUCUUCCCGUUCCAUCGUAAGUACCUCUACUUCUACGAGAAAAUCAUGGGCGAGCUCAUUGGGGACCCAACGUUCGCCAUCCCCUUCUAGAACUGGGACGCGGCAGCUGGCAUGUACAUUCAUGAGAUUUUCACUAAUACGUCGUCAUCCCUCUACGACAAGUACAGAAAUGCAGCACAUCAGCCCCCGAAGCUCCUGGACUUGAAUUACAGCGGGACCGACGAUGACGUUGACGACGUGACACAAAUCAUAGAAAACUUAACAAUGAUGUACCAGCAAAUGGUGUCGAAGGCCACUUCUCACAGACUCUUCUACGGAGAGCCCUACAGCGCAGGGGACGACCCUAGCCUUGGCGCCAGAAACAUUGAGAGCAUUCCUUAUAACAAUAUUCACUUUUGGACUAGCGACCCAACCCAGACAAACGAGGAAGACAUGAGGGCCUUUUACUCUACGGGGAGGGAUCCGCUAUUUUACUCCAACCAUUCCAACGUGGACCACAUGUGGUCUAUAUAUAAAGAUAAGUUGGGGGGUACGGACAUAGAAAAGAUUGACUAGUUGGACACAGAGUUCUUGUUCUACGACGAGAAAAAGAAUCUCGUGCGCGUCAAGGUUCGGGACUCGCUUGACACGAAAAAACUCGGGUAUGUGUACGACAAGAAUGCCUCAAUUCCGUGGCUAGAGUUGAAGCCGACGGCUCAUAAGUCGACAAAUAAGAGAAAGGCCACUGUUUCAUCUUCUGAUCUUACUACAACGUUCCCUGUUACACUGUCGGAUACAAUCAGCGUCGAGGUGACGAGGCUGUCUGCGAUGAAGCGGACAGCUGCCCAGAAGAAGGCGCAUGACGAGGUGCUUGUGAUUAAAGGGAUUGAGUUUGCCUGGAAUGAGACUGUGAAGUUCGACGUGUAUGUGAAUAAUGACGCAGACUCGCUAGCCGAGAAAGACAAGUCGGAGUUUGCUGGGAGUUUUGUUCACGUGCCGCAUAAGCAUAAGAAAAAUAUUAAGAUGAACCUGCGGCUGAGCAUUACGAGCUUGUUGGAGGAAUGGGAUGCGGAGACAGACAUCAGUUUGGUGGUGACUUUGGUGCCAAAAGUUGGGAAGGGGCCAAUCACCAUCGAAGGGUUUAGCAUUGAGCUUAUUAAUACUACCUGAGUAUUCAUGUUAUUGUUGUUCUUGUUGUUGUUGUUGGGUUGGCUUAAUCGUGGUUUUCUAGCUAAUUAAUCUUAAACGUACGUAAUAUGCUCAUCUACUGCUUACGUGGCAGAUGAUGGUUGGUGUUCCUCGUGAAUAAAAGCACUAUUGUGUUUCAGUGUGUUUAUUUAUUGAAUAAAGAAUUGAUGGUGGAGUUUAAUCAUAGUUUUCCAGAAUUAUUGAUGGUAGAGUUCUUGAAAAAUUAAUGGACCGUAAUUGUGUGUAAAAUUGUUUAUAAAACUAGUACACUACUUUACUAUUAUUAUUAUUUGUGAUAAUGGAGAGGACUAACAAUUGAGUCAAAUUCUUGCGCAAAGAGAAAGAUAACAAACAUGUAAGCCAAAAAAGUGUAGGGGUAAAACCACAAUAAAGCUAAAUAUGUGGUAGCGACUAGCAUAAAAAGUUCUUUUUUUUUUUUUUUUGGAAGAAAGGUAAAUUUUAUAACAAAUAACUAUUUAGGGACUCUAACCUUCACCUUUAAGUACUCAUUUAAGUACUUAACUGAAAUCUUUAUCUUCUUAAAGGAAUAUUGCCUCCAAUUGGAGCGUCUUAUAGUAGAAUUCUUAAAUUUGAAGUUUUUAUGAUUUUAUAUAAUAAUUUGAUUACGUGCACAUUUUUUGUUUAUAUUAACCUUUUAUAAUUAAUUAAAAGCUUCAAUCAAAAUUGUAGGCCCCGUUUUCAACUCAAGGUACACAUUUUUGCUUAGGGUAUUACUAGAUAGACUAAAUUUGUAGACGGAUGAGUAGACACAUCCGUCGCCUACAUACCGUUGAGAUGGCACUAUCAAAAUCCAGCUAAGGCAAGAAACUCCGUGUCGUGGCUGCUCCACUCUGCAAAGACAAAACUUUGUAAACUAAAUGACAUGGAAGUUGAUGAUUGAUUAUUACUUAAGCGUUGAUAAAAAUUCUCAUUUCUAUUAGCGAUACAUCAUUUGGUUUGCAAAUUUUGUCUAUAAAUUUAGUCUCCUUAGCAUUUCCUUUUGUGGGUAAUGCUAGGGAGAUUAAAUUUGUAAACAAAAUUUGCAAACAAAAUUUGCAAACCAAAUGAUGUGUCAUCAAUAGGAAUGAACACAUUUAUCAACGCUUAAGUAAUAAUCUAAUCAUCAACUUAUAUAUCAUUUAAUUUAUAAAAUUUUGUUUACAGAUUUAGUCUCUCUAGUAUUACCCAAAAUACAAAAUAUACAAUAUUUGACACCCAUAUUUCGUUGACUAUUCAUUAAAUCAAGUGAUUCAUCCAUCAACUUUUACAACCACCUUUCCCUUUACUGACUUAUUCUUUAUAUAGUCACUACCUAGGUUAUCUUGCAAGUUAACUACUAACAACUUUCUCUAACAGACUUAAGGUUCAUUUGGAAGUAUUUUUAAAAUGACUGAAAACGCUUUUGAUAAAAUUGAUUUUGGGUUCCAAAAGAACUUUAAAUGCUUUUUGAAGAAGCACAAAAUAUGUGCUUCUUGCAGGAAGCACAUAAAGUGUUUUUCCAUUAUCUACUUAGAUUUUUACUAAGGAUUGGUUUCAUAAAUAUUUUCACUUAAAGAGAUUUCAGUUAUUUAAAAAAAAAUCCAAACGAGCCCUUAUCCACUUAGCAACUAUCUGUUAUCCUAGUUAUAGCACUUCUACAUCUCUGAUUCAACAUGCUGAGUCAGCAAUUACAUAGAAUCCUAUCACAUGGCCAUGUCUCCUUUUUUGUGUCUCUCAUUGUAAUAACUCUUUUGAGAAUUCAACAAAAAAAAUGAUAUAUAUUGUAGCACUUAAAUGGUAACUGGUUAGUAAGUUAGAAUGACAUUAUAUUUAACAUGAAUUGUUUACCAGGGAAGGAAGCUUAUCUGUUAGUUUCUUUUUUCUUAGACCAUCUCUAACUGAAGUGACUAAAUAUAGCUCAGUUAAAAAUUAUAACCCUGCAAGAAAUUAUUUUCUAUGAACAAUGCCAAAUUAUAUUCAUUAUUCAUAUACCAUUUCCAACUAAAGUGACUAAACAUAACCAUACUAAAAUAAAAAUAUCUUUAAAUUUAUUAAACAUAACUUCCUCAAUAAUUUUUUUAUUUUAUGUGUUAUUUAAAUUUAUUAAUUAAUUUAAUUAAAGUACUACAACUUAUACCAUAUUAAAGUAAAAAUAUCUUUUUCGGAUAUUAUCGCGAGACACAUGUCGAGCUCAUGGAACUAAUGUAACAACUAAAGCAUAUAUGUAUAUAUAAGAAUAUACAAUUUACAAGGACACAACAAAGACAAGAUUUGUAUUCAUUUCUGCCCGGAUGUGGUACUAAUUAAUUCCAAAAUCAAAACCAUACUCAUACAUACAAAGCCUUAGUUUUUACAAGAUUUUCUUCGGACCGGAUUAUUUACAAGGGUCACAACAAAAGAAAAAAAAUCUUCUUUUUUUUUUUUGGUAUUGCAAAAACAGUGCUAUUUACAAGGAAAUUAGGGUUUCAGUUAUGUUGGGGACCUUCAGACUCGAUUUCUUUAGCCAGUUCUUUUGUGAGCAUGUCAGCCCGGUCAUCAUGUCCACCAGCGAAUGUGUAAACCCUAAAAGCAAACUGAAAAGCCUUCCGCUGCAUUUUCACACAAAUCUUUUGUUUGCUUCUGAUCAGUUUUUGUUCCAGUCUUACCUGCGGCCUUUGCUUCUCUCCUUUCCUGCAUCAUUUAACAUUUCAAAGUCAAAACUCCCUUUUCAAAUCAUUGUUAUUUGUUUUUUAAAGUAGUUAAUUCUGAGUACUAACCUUUAGUGCCAUCUCCAUGCAGCUUGAGGAGACAUCCACCAUGGCUUCUUUGAUCCGGAUGAGGAUAUUAAAGUCGAAAUGGAUAUUCUGGCUCUGAAACUUCUUGGCUUCGUCGUCUUCAGUUCGUUCCAUCGUGUCUAUUUCUCCUUUUAUCUGUGUAUUACCUUUUUUUAUUAGUUAUGGAAAAUGGAAAGAGACAAUUAAGUUUUUUUAUAUAAGAAACGAUAGUGAAGACAAUUAAGUAAGCAGAGAUUAUAUUCACAUACCCCAAAUUAUUUCUCCCACAUCCUUUUAAAAUUUUUAAUAUUUUCUCACACCCACUAACACUUCCCACUAACACUUGAUAGAAAAAUAUUAAAAAAUUAAAAGGGUGUGAGAAAAGUAAUAGUAGUAAGUUUUUUAUAUAAGAAACGAUAGUGGAGACAAUUAAGUAAGUAAGAUUGUAUAAAAUGAACAUUUGUGCACCUUUAUCAAAGUAGCGUUCGGCCUUGUCAAGGAGCUGACCCAAUGGAACCACUAGUUUCCAGUUUUGUAGUUCAUUGAGCAUUGUAUUUAAAUUUGUGUGUAGUGCUGCUGCCAUCCUUAUUGCUUCCAACUUCUUUGUUGGGAACCCUUCAAACCUGGAGAGUACCUGCAAUUCAGAAAACGGCAUGUCACAAAACACGAUUAUGAAGUGAUCAUAGAAUUAGAAUGGAAAUGAACAAAACUAAAGCGGACAAUUAAUGGUAUUGACCUGUGACUCAUCAGUCAAGUGUUCAAGGACGGAUUCGACUUUCUUGUGAAACUGCAUCAACCCAUUCAUGUCUUUUGUUUUGAAAGAACCAUGAUUAAAUUCGGGCUGGGUCAAACUUAAUACAGAUGGUAGUGUAAGGGGAAUUGCGGGUAUUGCCACAGGAGGGGGUUUGCUUAGGGAUGACAGUGGAAGAUGGAUCAUGGGCUUUGGACUCAAUAUAGGAGGAGUAUGCCCUGUGACCGCAGCAGAACUUUGGGCUUUAUACCAUGGGCUGGAACUGGCCUGGGCUGAAGGCCUCAGGAAAAUCUCAGUGGCCGUGGAUUCCACCGCUUUGUAGAUUCUCCUUUCGGUAAAACCACUCAUUUCUUUUCCUUGUCGAAGCCAUUCUCUUCUUAUCUCAUUUCCGUGAUAGGCUUUGCAUACUUCUGAACAUCUUCUUCAGUUUGUUGAAAGUAUGCUGAUCUGAGACACAAAAAUUAGAAACAUUAUAUGCAUGGUUUUCGCAUUAUUUUGAGUACUUAGAUUACUUAUCCAUACAAUAAAUACCUCUUUGUAAUCUCUGCUAGAGCAUCAGCCAUUCCUUGUUUUCCACCAGAGCUGCUUCCAAUUCCACUCUUUCUCCCGUUGGAUGCCUUGCCAUCCAAGCUAGAUCCUUUCACCUUUCUCUUGAGAAGACGGUAGAGACUACCCAUCUGAGGUGAUCUCUUCAGUUAGUGUCUGUCUUGUGGCGCAAGGAUCUUCCUGUGCCGAGUGCGGGAGGUGGGGGUGGAGCAGCUCCAUUUGAUGGGCCUUUUAUCAUGGGUGGUGGCUGUGGAGGACCUCCAUUUGAUGAUCCUGGUGGAGGUGGUGGGGGUGGAGGACAGCCAAUUGACGGUCCUGGUGGAGGUGGUGGUGCUGGAGCUCCAUUUGAUGAUCCUGGCGGAGGUGAGAGUAGGGGUGGAACGACUUUUGUUGACCUUGGUAUCACUGGUGUUGGUGGAGGGGUUGGAUUUACUGACACUGGUCCUGGUUCCAUUGGUAGAGGCGGUGGGGGUGGUGGCCCCCUAACUGCUACUACAUUAUGUGGGGUUAAUGUUGGUGGUGGUGGAGUUGCUGUAACUUGUGGCCGCAUGGCGGGUAGUGAUGGUGGUGGCGGCGGUGGUGUUGCAACAUUUAGCUUCAAAGUGUGUAGUGGUGGUGGUGGAGGGGAUGUUGGUAUUCUUGUUGCUGUUUCUGUAUUGGACAGUGAAAGUUGUUGCGUUGGUGGAGGUGGAGGUGGAUGCGGAGGCGGAGGCGGAGGUGCUGAUUUUGGUUGUGGAAGUGUAGGUGAGGGUGAAAGCAAUGAUGCUCCUGUGGUGUCUGCUUCCAAUGCUUCAGAGGCCGUGGUUGGAGUUUCAACAUCAUCACUUGUGUUGUCGAUACCCUGUCCACUAGACUUCUCAUCCAAACUAAGAUUUGGGGCUACUACUUCCUCAUCUCAUCUGUUGCUGCAAUUGUCUUUUGAGGGUUGCUCUCUAAUUCUGUCCCAAUUGGUGGGUCUUCAAACAAAUUUUCAAUCUUGUCCAGGCCAUUGUUGGUACCAUGAGCUCCUUGUUUUGAUAAGUGAAGAGACAAGUUCUUAACAUCAAUCGGAUUUAGCUUCCCAACUGCUUGCACUCUCAGAGUCCAAAGUAAUGGUGAUUUGGAACCAAUGUUGGCCUUCUUUCGUGCUCUCGGAGAACCAUCAAUCUCGGGUAGGACAGAAGAUGGAGUGAUCGGAGAAGGACAGGUGGAACCUGAGGCGUAGCUCUCCGAAUCGCUCAAGAACUUCCCAAAUGAGCAAUUCCGAGGGCUGUAAUCUUCUCUUUUCUGGCCAUCCUCAUCCAUCAUAUCAAACUUGUCCAGUGCCAUCUUCAUCAAGCAAUCAAACGUUUCCAGCACCGUCUCAACUACAAAAUCGUAUAGAGAAUCAGCCUUAACUUAAAAUUUCACAAAUGGAAAUAACAAUUAGGCUGUUGCUUCCAUUUCCAAAUGGGAGGCCUCGACUAGUCCUCGAGAAAAAUUUGUAGCAUACCGAGUUCAUCCUGAUUGACAUUCUCCUUGGGUGAUGGGAAAUCAUAUCUCGGUUUGUCCAACCUGUCAUAACUUGUCAUCCAAGACUCUCCAAUAGAUUUCAAUGCCUUGCAGAAGGAGGCCAUGACCUGAUUGUGGAUGUUUAAUUUGAGAAAUUAGCUUAAUGGUCUCGAGUAUAAUUACAUAUGCGUACUAAGCCAUUUCUUAUGGAUCUUAAAUCCUUAAUUACCUUCUCUGUACAUGCUUCCUUUAUCUCCGACAAUUGUUUAUGCAGCACAAUUUCAGGGAAAAGCUUCUGUAGAUCUCCCAUCAACCUCAUUACCAUCUGCAAGCAGAAAAUAAUUGGAAAAUUAAACAAAUUGUGUUUUAAUCCUGAAAUUGAAGUACAAGAUUUCAACGGGAAAAAAGGAAAUGUUAUUAGCAAUCCAAAAAAUUCAUUCUGCGCUCCAUCUUUUAAUCUUCAUUAGGGAAGAGUGUACUAUAACAUGUUUAGAGUUCCUAUAAAAGCGCUUUGGAAAAAAUAAAAAAGGGGGCACAUACCUCAGUUAUUGCAGCAGAAGCAUCACAUGCUGGUAGGUCGAUGAUGCCUCUAAAGAUGGUGAUCUUCUUCCGGAGCUCAGUCAUCCGAACCUCAUUGGCUGAAUCUCCGCAAGACCUAUCUUUUGGCAUGCCUCCUCUCCUAGAAGCAUUCUUCUGUUUCACAGGCAGACUCUUGGUUGGCCCCCUUGGAGUCUUUCAUUGCCAGAAAGAACAACUCUAUUCAUGUUAACCAUUUUCUAGUCUACACCUUAUUGUGAAUCGAUUCAUUUUCAGUGAUUAUUUAUUUUAUGAACCUUAAUCAAAGAUUUAUGGCUGCAUUCAACAAACUUAAUCUAGACAAGAAACAAUGCUGCCAUGUUUCCAUUUAUAUAGAUUAUUAGCAUGCCUAGAUGUAGAUGGUCAGUUUUUACUCGACCUCAUCCUCAAUGUGACUAGGAUUCUCUCCAUUCCUCUUUCCAUCCUCUUUCAUCUCCUCCUCUUACAUUCUCUUACAUUCUCUUUCUCUUGCUAUAAAAAAUUAAUAUAAGAUGUUAACAUGGUUUAAUUGUGACCGUUCAAAUAGAAGAUGAGGGAAAAAAAUAAGGAAGAGAAUCCUACUCCCCUCAAUGGUGCUAUGAAUAAUAUGAAGUUUAAAAUAAUAAAGUUUUGUGAAAAAUUCUUGGUGACAGCCAAAUCGUAUAGAACAGAACCAAAUGCGCCCUCUGUGUGAAAUACAUUUUCAAAUAUGAACCACGGCUUUUUUCUUCUUCUUUCUUUUUCGAAAUAUAGCAACGGAUUUUCUUAGGAUACUCCUACAAUUCAUCUUUAGAAGAGACUAGUCAUUUAAAUUGAAGAAGCUAAAUCUGGAAAAGGACAAAAAAAGAAGGGGGCUGCAAAUCGAAGAAGCUGAAAAGAAAAGGAAAAAAGGCGUUAAGGGAGUAGCCAAAUAGCUUCGAAAGCAAUUCAAUAGUUGAUAACAACCCAUUUAAAUUGAACCCAAGAAGCUUCUACCAUUUAAAAUUCAACAAAACACAAUCUAUACAGUCGGAAAAAAACAAAAAAACGAUUCCAUAAGAUUCAGGAAAAAGAAUAAAAAUUAUAUACCUUGUUGAUAAAGAAAGAGCUUGCAAAGCUGCAGAUAAAAACUGGAAAAUUCGAGCAACAACUUUUGCUGCAACUAAAAAUCAAAGCAGUUCAGAAAAGUACACCCAAAGCUUGAAAAAAAUUAAAUCACACACAAUCAGAAAAAUAGAAAACUCACCAGUAAACGUUUGAUCGUAUUGUUAACUUUUCCUGAAAUCAAAAAUCAAAACACAUAAGAGAACUCACCACAAUCCAUAUAGUUGCAUAAAAAACUUGUAGAUGCAAGAUUAGAAGAACUCACCACAAAACUAUCCACUUUGAGACCAGCAGAGGCGAAGAGAGGGGAGAGCAAACGGCUACGGAAGAAGCGAAGCAAGAGAAGUGGGAAAAAAAUUGGGGAAUCAUUGCAGAAAGAAGAAAAGGAACCGGACAAAAAUGUUGAAGGGCAAAGUUGAAAUAACAAAAACGAAGCAAGGGCAUUUGGUCCGCACACUGCCCUAGAACAGUGGCACACGAGUUUGUAAUUUUAGUGGUGUUUACUCUGAAUCAAUACUUACCACGUGAUUAGAAAGUGAUUUGUUCAUCUAAUAUAAACUUGUCACAUGAUAAAAUAAUUGUACAAAAGAAUCUCUCUUUUCAUCGAGACCGGAAUUAUUGAAUUAUGAUAGGAAAAUUCUACGCAUGCUUUGAAACACAUCAAUCAGUCUAUACUAUUAACCACGUAUUUCUUCAUUGUUGGGGAAAUUCUACGUAGCAUGUUUUUCAUGAUUACAUUAUCUUUAACAUUCGUAAACAAAAUAGAGGUCUAGAUUCGCAGACUCGAUGCCUACCUAUUAUUUUUCAUUGAUUAUUGGUCAUGCUACUAGCUGACUAGGAAGAUCGACUCUCCCUUACUGUUAUUAAAAUUUCGAAAUUUUCUAAUUCUCAUUUGUUUUUGUUGCAUAAGGUUUUUUUUUUUUUGGUUAAUUGUUGCAUAAGUAAUUUGGCAUGUAUUUUUUAACAAUGUUGGAUGAGAAAUCUAAUGGUUUAAGAAUUAUAAAUAAGAAUUUAAAAAACAUUUAGUGACAUUAAAAAAAGUAUUUCUUUGUAAUUUUAGUGGUGUUUACUUUGAAUCAAUAUUUACCACGUGAUUAGAAAGUGAUUUAUUUAUCUAAUAUAAACUUGUCACAUGAUAAAAUAAUUGUACGAAAGAAUCUCUCUUUUCAUCGAGACCGGAAUUAUUGAAUUUAUGAGAUUUAAUUGCAAUGUGUCCAUUUUAUGUGCGGUAGUUGUUGAUUUUUGCGCGGCGGGUUCGAAUCAUAUAAACCUAUAAAUAAAGAUUAAAUUGCAAUGUUUGUAUGACAUUUAAAUUAGUCUGGACUUGUAGUUUAGAAGUAAUGUUUCUAACAUGGUGUAUGAAACUUAAAUAUCCCAUAUAUUUUUUUCAUCCACUGUAUAAAAAAUGAAAAUACAUGUGUUAAUCACUUAUACAAUACAUCCAAACGAGAAUAAGAAAAUUUCAGAAUUUGAAUAAAAAAUUAUGGGAGAGUCAAUAUGCACAUGAUUUUUGCUUUAGUACCGUGGGAUAAUAGCUUACCGUAAGCAAAAACACAAAAUAUAAAUUAUAAAUAUAAUAGAAGGAUAACUGGAAUCGCUCCGGGGGUCUCUCACCCGUCCUUGACCUCUUACCAAGAAUUUUGGCUUCUAUCCCAUCCCAGGGCUAGAAUUUUAAUCUCUGGAAGGCAAAGCUUUUCUAUUCAACUCUUCAUUGUUUGUUAAUCUGAAUUACAAGGGAUGUUUAUAAAGCCUAAAAAUGACCGCAUGAAGGUAAACUUAUUAUAGUAAAGAAAUCCUAAUCCAAAAUAAAAUAGGACACUAUAUCUAAUCCUAAUUAAACUGGAAAGAAUUAUAGAGCUCGUUGGAAGUGAUUUUAAAAGCUGAUAGUGUUUUUGGUGAAAAUGAUUUAGGAACCAAUGCUUAGUAAAAAUGCAAGUAAAUUCUAAAAAAAAAACACUUAGUGUUUCCUUAAAAAAACAUAUAACCGGUGGUUCUUAUAAUAAGCACUUCAAGUGCUUUUGAAAUCCAAAAAUAUUUUAUCUAAAAACGUUUUUAAUCAUUUUAAAAGUACUUUGAAAUCAACCUUUAAUUCUUAUAAACUAAGCAAUCAUAAAACUACCCCCUAGAUAUUAAAAUACUAAGGACUAAAGACUAAAAAGGCUAAAAUACCCUUUAAUUUAGGAAGUCACCACUCUUGUUCCACGUGACUUAGCUAUUACUAAUUUACUAUCACCAGUAAUUGAUGAAAGAUAACAUCAAAAUAGAGAGGCAUAUAGAGUCAGCAAAUCUAGAACCUCUCUUUUUCAUGCAAAUUUUCCUCAUCGACGAAGAAAAAUGUGCUAUAUAUUUUUUAUUCAUGUGUUUCAAAAGUGGAUGGUCUCUUCCGUAAGGUGGUGAACUUAAAGAAAUUUGAGGUUGUAUUGUAAAAUUAAUUAGUAAAUAGAGAGUGGUUUAAUUCUUUAUAAGCUCUUGUAUGAUUUGAUUUCUCACCGAUGUGAGACUUUGUCUUUACAUUCUUACACUAUUCUCGCACGUGGCAAAUUUUAAAACCUAACAUGCGGACAAUACAAAUUGGGUGACGUGGAACAUGUGUAGCCAUUGGACUUCACACGUGGGCUAAUAUGAAGAUUAGUCUAACUCUUCAUAAGCCCUUGCAUGAUUUGGUUAAUCACUGAUGUGGGACUUUGUUCUCACAUUCUCACACGCUCCAUCAUGUGUGGCGAAUAUUCAAACCUAACAUAUGAACAAUACAUAAAAUCUCAAUUUUCUACAAAGUAUCAGAGUUGGUUGAAUCAGAUGUUUAAUUAUUCUUUCGUAGUAUGAAGUCAAUUGAACUACGUGUUUGAUAUGUAAGGAUGUAAAUGUUGAUCCACAUCAAAAAGUUAAGAGACCGUUUACGAUUUUAAUUUGUCCUGAAAGAUGCAUUUCACCACUUGAUGUAGCUCGUAUGGGAAGCCUAACUUUUUUUUUUUUUUUUUUUUUUUUUCUCGCAAUAUAGAUUGUUAACUUUUUCUUUUAAUUUGAGGGAUUCUCCUUGUCUUAAUGAUGUUGACAUCAGAGUGGUAUGGUUCAUGAAUCUUGACUAAGAAAACCCUGCAUUCAUACACACAUUUUUAGUGUGCGGUCCCGCCAAUUUCAACUAUAAAAACAUCACAAUCCCCUUUCCUUCUUAAUUGCAGAGUGGAAAGGAAAACCAAUUCAGCCAUGUCUUCAUCUCCCUUACCAACUUCUACAAUGGCCACCCUGCACUCCACCACAACCACCCUCUUCCGCUCUCCUUUAUUCCCAAACAAGUCCCAGACUCCACUGCAACGAAAACCCAAACAAUGCCUUGCGGGUAGAGUGCGCUGCAAAACAACAAAAGGUGACAAUGAUAACCUAGAUCAGGGCCUAGCAAGACUCGACAGGAGGAACAUGCUGAUAGGUUUAGGCGCCGGGGGUCUCUACGGUGCGGUAGGAAACCCAUUUGCUUUUGCCGCACCAGUAUCCGCCCCAGACUUGACCACGUGUGGCCCUGCCAACAAGCCAGACGGGUCCACCAUCGAUUGUUGCCCACCUACCACCACGACCAUCAUCGACUUUGAACUCCCUGACUCAGGCCCACUCCGCACUAGGCCCGCUGCUCAGGACGUUGCAAAUGACCCUGAAUACUUGGCCAAAUACAAAAAGGCCGUCGAGCUGAUGCGGGCACUUCCAGACGACGACCCGCGCAGUCACGCACAACAGGCGAUGGUACACUGCUCAUACUGCGACGGUGGAUACCCACAAGUCGGAUAUUCGGAUUUGGAGAUCCAAGUUCACUAUUGUUGGCUCUUCUUCCCGUUCCAUCGUUGGUACCUCUAUUUCUACGAGAAAAUCAUGGGCGAGCUCAUUGGGGACCCAACCUUCGCCCUUCCGUUCUGGAAUUGGGACGCGCCAGCUGGCAUGUACAUUCCUGAGAUUUUCAUUGAUACGUCAUCAUCCCUCUACGACCAGUACAGAAAUGCAGCGCAUCAGCCCCCAAAGCUCCUGGACUUGAAUUAUGGCGGGACUGACGAUGACGUCGAUGACGCGACACGAAUCAAAGAAAACCUAACAACGAUGUACAAGCAGAUGGUGUCGAAUGCCACUUCUCACAGACUCUUCUACGGAGAGCCCUAUAGCGCAGGGGACGAACCAAGUCCUGGUGCCGGAAACAUUGAGACCACUCCCCAUAACAAUAUUCACCUUUGGGCUGGUGACCCAACCCAGACAAACGGGGAGGACAUGGGGACAUUUUACUCUGCGGCGAGGGAUCCGCUGUUUUACUCUCACCAUUCCAACGUGGACCGCAUGUGGUCUAUAUAUAAAGAUAAGUUGGGUGGUACGGACAUAGAAAAUACCGAUUGGCUGGACGCAGAGUUCUUGUUUUACGACGAGAAAAAGAAUCUCGUGCGCGUCAAGGUUCGGGACUCGCUCGACACGAAAAAACUCGGGUAUGUGUACGACGAGAAUGUCUCGAUCCCAUGGCUGGAGUCAAAGCCGACGACUCGUAAGUCAACAAAUAAGAGAAAGGCUGCGGUUUCAUCUUCUGAUCUUUCUACAACGUUCCCUGCUACACUAUCAGAUAUAAUCAGCGUCGAGGUGACGAGGCCGUCUACGACGAAACGGACAGCUGCCCAGAAGAAGGCGCAGGAGGUGCUGGUGAUUAAGGGGAUUGAGUUUGCCGGGAAUGAAACUGUGAAGUUCGACGUGUAUGUGAACGAUGAUGCGGACUCACUGGCCGGGAAAGACAAGUCGGAGUUUGCUGGGAGUUUUGUUCACGUGCCGCAUAAGCAUAAGAAGAAUAUUAAGACAAACCUGCGGCUGAGCAUUACAAGCUUGUUGGAAGAGUUGGAUGCGGAGACAGACAACAGUUUGGUAGUGACUUUGGUGCCGAAAGUUGGGAAGGGGCCAAUCACCAUCGGAGGGUUUAGCAUUGAGCUCAUUAAUACUACCUGAGUAUUAAUUAAUGUUAUUGUUGGUUCUUCUUGUUGUUGUUGGGUUGGCUUAAUCAUGUUUUUCUAGCUAAUUACUCCUGAACGUUCGUAAUGUGCUCAUCUACUGCUUAUGUGGCAGAUGAUGGUUGGUGUUCCUCGUGAAUAAAAGCACUAUUGUGUUUCGGUGUGUUUAUUUAUUGAAUAAAGAAUUGAUGGUAGAGUUUAAUCAUAAUUUUCUA
rnacentral:lncRNA from 1 species